AUAAAUUGGAGAGGGAAGUGUAGCAUGGAAGAAAGUAUGGCUGAUUAUGGUUUAUUAUGGUAGAGAAGGCACAGUGACUAGAGCAGCUACACCCAUCUGCUAAGAACCAGGAAGCAGAUGAAGCAGGCCAUACCAAGAGGCCACAGCACCCUCAAAGGGACUUUCCCAGGGAUCUAUUUCUACUAGUCAGACCAACCUCCUAAAAGCUCCAUGAGCCUUCAAAAUGGCAGUCUGAGAGCUAAGCCUUUAAACAAACUUGCAGGCACUUCAGAUGCAAACCACAAGAGGGGAGGCUCCCUUCCUCGGUGUAUCAGAUUAUUUUGGUUUUUGGUUUUUGUUUGUUUGUUUUUUGCAUUGCUGUGACAACACUUAGGGAGGAAGGUCUUAUUUUGGAUCACAGACUGAGGGUACAACCCAUCAUGUAGAAAUGGCAGGGUGGAAGUUCGUGGUGCUGGGAGGUAUGGGCAGGACUCUUCACAUCUCAGCAGACCAAGAAGCAGAGAAUGGGACCAUUGGCACGCUCUUUAUCUGUUUCCUCUUUGCAUUCAGUCUGGAAGUCCAGUCCAUGGAAAGAUGCCACAUAAAUUGGCAGGGGGCAGGGGGAGGGUCUUCCCUCCUCAGCUAAAGUUCUCUAAAAAUACCCUCACAGGCAUGUCUAUAGGUAUGCCUCAAUGUCUGUGGUGUUUUGUAAUUCACUUGAAUUAUCAGAAUUACCUACUGCAUUCAGAAGCCAAGUCAAGGAAGCUACCACACGAUGGGAGUGGCUGUGGAGGCUGACUGUCAAGUCCUUACUUUACAACCUGGACAAUCCCCCAGCAAGUCAUUGGCUGUCAUCAGGUUGUGGGACACUGCAGGUGUGCUUGCUGAAGGAAGAGAGAGAGAGAGAGAGAGAGAGAGAGAGAGAGAGAGAGAGAGAAGAAGAAGGAGAAGGAGAAGGAGGAGGAGGAGGAGGAGGAGAAGGAGAAGGAGAAGGAGAAGGAGAAGGAGAAGGAGAAGGAGAAGGAGAAGGAGAAGGAGAAGGAGAAGGAGAAGGAGAAGGAGAAGGAGAAGGAGAAGGAGAAGGAGAAGGAGAAGGAGAAGAAGAAGAAGAAGAAGAAGAAGAAGGAGGAGGAGGAGGAGGAGGAGGAGGAGGAGGAGGAGAAAGAACAUUACUGUUCCUAGGUAUGGUGGAGGAGAAAGUUUAUUAUAGAUAUGUGAGAGAGCAGAGCCAGAAGCAGGGGCAUCUGAGAGAGAUGGGCCAUGUAGGGAGAGGGGAAGAGGAAGUUAGAGGAGAGAGAGUGGCAUAAGGAAUAGCAGCCAGAGGGCCAAAGGUAUAAAAGGGGUGAGUAACCAAAAUGUCUGUCUGGAUUAUAUAGGGAAGAGCCUCUGGGGGAAGGGCAGCCCAGCCCCCCCCCCUCCCCGGGCUGGAGACUUCAGGGUAGAGGGUAGGAUAUGGGAGGGACUGAGGGAUGCUGGGAGAGCCUGGAGGCCUGGUCCACUUUGACAUGUAAAUAGGCACCUCAGCCACUUGCCCCAGGUUUGAAACCUAACUAAUCUGCUAACUGUCCCUGUUUGCUAUGAUUGUGAUGUGGUCUCCCAUGGCUGAAAGGACAAGAAGAGCUGGGUGCAGGUUUAGCAAAGGAUCGCCUUGGUCCUUGCUCUUUCUGAGGCAUCACAGAACCACUAGCUCACAAAAAUCAGUCCAGCAGGCAAUGCGAUAGAAACAUAUACACAGGCAAGGCCAAUAAGAUAGCUUAUUAGGUAAAGGCCCUUCCUACACAAACCAGAUGAUCUGAGGUCAAUCCCUGGAACCCACAUGGAAAGAGGGAAUCAUUUCUGAGCGUUGUUCUUUGUCUUUCACACACAUGCCAUAGCAUGCGGCUGUGUGUGCUCACACACAUACCAGACACACAGACAUCAACCACAAUAAUAAAUAUAUAGAAUAAAAACAAGGAACAAAAAGAAUUCACCAUGUAGAUACUGUUCUGCAAAUAAGAACAAUGGGACUGCCUCUGAUAGGACAGGGUUGCAUCUAUCUCAAAGGCCAAACAUCCUUUUGGGUUGUCCAUGGUGCUGAGCUGACAACCCCUGGAGAGGCCUCUGUGUGCAGGGGGAUACAGGUUGCUCCUGAUGGCUUUAGUCUAACCAGAGGUCAGGCUUCCUGAGAGCAGAUGACAGCCCUGCUUUGUUCUGAAUGCCUUGGGAGAUGGAGAGGAGAGAAGCUGGGGGAGAGGGGCCAGAAGAAAAGGAGGGAGCAGGUGGGACUCUGCAGGUCAGGCCCCAAACCCUCUUGUCUGUGCAGAUGCUCAGGAGAAUUCAAAGACAAAUCAAGUUGGGGAAAUGCAAAUGGAACAGCAGGACUCUGAGGGCUGCAAAGCAAAGACCUUGACCUGGCCAGCUCCUUCUGCAAGGUUCUGAACCCCAGCAAAAAAGGUGACACACAGAAAGACGGAUGUCAUGCUGGAUGGAGCAAGUUGCAGAAUGUUUAUAUGACUGACUGCUGAUCUGCAGUUAGACCUGCAAUACCUUCCUUAUCACAGGGCUGGCCUUCGAAGCCUGCCAUACAAGAAACUUGGCUUCAUCACUGCUCUCUAACAGGAUGCUGAGGCCUGCACAAGGGGAGUCAGUGGCUCCAGUGAGGCACCCUACAUUUCGGACACCUCCAGGCCUUGAGCUGAGGAACACCACUGUCCCCUCCUUUACGGACAGCUCUGUCCACAAACCUCAAAUCUGCAGUCUGUGCGUUCACUUCUGGGCUUCUCAUGAGCUCUGCAGGCAAAGCGUUCUGGGAUGAAAAGCAUCCUGGCAAUUUGGCCUGAAGAACAAAAGCCCGCCAGCUCUCAGUGCUGAACAUAAGGCAGCCUGACUUCUCGAUCAAUCAGCCUGGUAGCAGGGGAAUGUCUCCCCCACAUUUCCUGUGCUUGGAAGGAGGAAGCCAGGAGCAGGCUGAGCAGAGCACCGGGCAAAGGCAGUGAAUGAGCGCACAUCUGCCCGCCGGGGCAGCCCGGCUUUCCAUGGACCCCCAAACCCGGGCACCACACUGACCACCUCCUUCAAGAUCCUGUCAGAUAGUGGUCUCACCUGCUCCUACAGAGGGCUUUCUCCAAUGGUACAACUUGGUCCUGGGGUCCUUACAAAGUGUCACACCCUGCUUUUGUGCCUCUAGUCAUGCUGGCUUUUUGUCUGGCAGUGUUCUCCCAACUUUGACCCUAUUCAAGUGACAGGUCUGCCCUACCCCCUCCACAAGGCCUUUGUAGGCAAUGAUACAACGUGGUGCUGGCACCCGUCACAGGCCUGGGUUGGAGCCAUAGCUCCCACCGAAAUGAGUAACUCGGCACAAUUUAUCUAAUCUUACUUUGGGAAGGAACAAUAACAGUAUUACUUCAUGGACUGGAAGAAGGGGACAUUAAAUAAGAUCAUGCCUGUCAAUAAGCACUCAGCACAGUGUUUGACACACUGUUGAUUUUAUGAGGGAAAGACCCCCCCACACUGUUUAAAAGGUCUAUUGCGGUUCAUUAAACUGGUAUUAGUUAUCUACAGCAACAUCCCCCUUCUCCCUUCUUACCCAUCUUCCCUUCUCUCCUCUCUCUUCCUCCUCCUCUCCCUUCCCUUCCCCCUCCCUCUCCCCGUCCCCCUUCCUCCUCCCUGUCUUCUUGAUUUGUAUUGCUCCAUAUUGAUCCUGGACCUUGUGGGGGCUAGACAACUACUCAGCCACUGAGCCACAUUCUCAGUCCAGGUUCAAGAUCAGGGAAUAAUAAUUAAAACAGGAGCCGCCACUUUUAAAGGCUUGUGAACGAAGCUCUACCCGAUGCUUCAAAACUGGGUGCUCCUAUUGCAGUCAUUACUUCCUGACUACUUGAAUCUUCUCCUGCAAAUCCCUACAGCACCCCCAGUCUGUCUCCAAUGGCUCAGGGUUGUUCAUUAUGGUUUUUCGAUCUUAGUUUCAUUUAAUUGCUUGCUGGCUGGCUUCCUUUGUUCCCAUCCAGAGGGAAGUGGGAGGGUACGUACACUCUGACUGGCUCGGUUCUGUUGCUAAGAACACGGUAGUUGUCUAAGUCAGAGUCUCAGACUUGGCUUAUUUAUCUAAGAAUAGAGAAAGCAACCCCCUCCCUAAUUUAGUCGGGACAAUAUGCUACAGACCCCACCACACGCACACACACACAAGCACACACACACACAGAGUUUAUCUGUUUAUCUGUUUACCGUAUCUGCAAGCACAGUGAAAACCAUCUCCCCAGAGUUCGCUUGGAAAAUUACUCUGAGCACUUUCAGUUCAAUGAGGCCUGUGAUUAUAAUCGGUUCUUUCUUAAUUCCUAAUUGGACCCCUCUGGUUCAUACGGCAGGGGCUGCACCCCGCAGGGCUGAAGGUGAAAGGUGGGGAGGCUAUGGCCUGGCUGAAGGGAUGACAAGGCUCCUCCAAGGGCCACAAGUCUGCCAGUGCUGCACCAUCGUCCCAGAUUUGAUCUAUCACCAAACACAAGGGCAGUGAAGCUUCAAACUCUCAAGACUCUGCCUAGACCUCUUGGUGUCAGACUCAUUCCGUCCACACAGAGAAGAAUGGGAGGGGAGUUUAAAGAACUGGAGAGACUUCCCAGUCACAGAAUUGUGGAGUCAGGUUUUGAGCAGACUGUGCCUGCUAUCUCCCAAGUUUAUAGAGUCUGAGAGCUCAGGGAAGCAGGUGCCACAAGGCUGCCUCUCAGGCAGGACAGAGUCAACAGCUAUAGACACAUGACUGGUAGGGCCCUGCAUCACCUUACACUGUAGAGGAGAACAAUAGUAGCAUCAAAGCAGAGAAGGAUGCCUCAGAAGGGAGGUGGGGAGGGGGACCUGGCAGAGUGCGCCCAGCCUCUCGUGCUUCGAUAAGGACCCAUACGCCAUCAGGACAGAUGACUCGCCUCCUCCUUGUCACUAGCUGCCUUCACUGGCCUUUACUUUGCCAGGCUGAUGGCUGAGGACAAGAGACAAACACUCUGUCACUCUGUACCUUAAUUGUUUUUCUUCUUGCUCCGGCCAAAUGCCUGGUGAGUGGCAACUUAAAGAGGUUUCAUGGUACAUUCCAUCCUGGUGGGGCAGCUAUGGUAGCAGGAGGGAGGGGACAGAGGUUGGGGUGGCAGCGGGAAGGUGAGACUGUUUGCUUACACCUCUGUGGACUAGCAAGCAGAACGUGACUGGACCCAAAGCUGGGCUAUAUACCUCAAGCCAACUCUCCAGAGACCUAAUUCCUCCAGCUAGGGCUCAACUCAGCUCCUAAAUGUUCUGCAACCAACAUCUGGGGACAAAGUGCUCAAUGCACAGUUGUGGGGAAAUCUGACAUUCAAACCAUGAUACUCACUGAAGCUUAAAGGCGUCCUGAGAAGGCUUUUGCUGCUCUUGAGUUUGCUAGGGCAGGCCAGGAUCAGUGUUGUGGGUCUGAGGACACUCCCUCUGGCCAUCAGGGAGAAAGGUCUGGAAGCACACUGCUCCCAUCCAUAACCCAUACUUUCCCCUAAUGUAGAGAUUGCAUAUCUCCAGAGGCUGAAGAGUCAAACCACUUCCUUUUUGACUUUCAAAUGCCUUCUGGAAUUUAGUUCCUUCAUAUCUUAUCUCAAGUUAUAUAUGAUAAAGUAGACAGCAAAUUAAGUUUUUUAGCAACCAUCUCUCAUGGCAGAGAACUCUGCAUCUUCAUUGGGUAUUAGAGGUAUUGCGUGGAUACAGUCUGAUGUCAUCCCUGGGAGUGAUGUGCUCAGGGUGAGCACCCUCAGCAGGGAGGACUGUGGAAAGCAGUCUUGGAUCCUACCGAAGACACAGUCCCUCGUGCCCAGCCUACAAAGAUGUGUGACACACAUUCUGGGACAAAUUGCCAGAAUCUAUUCUCCACAGCAACAUGGACACCUAUCUGCUCCAGUAACUGCCCACGCAGACUUAAGUCACCUAGCAAAAUAACAAACAUGUAUGUCAAUCCCGGACCACCAACAAGACUUCUCCCUGGAGGGUGUUGGGGGCUUCUUGUUCCUAAGGCAGCUUCAGAUUCUCAGGAUACAAUUGGGGCAGGAAGUGGCUGAUAAAGAGGUUGGCAGAAGAGAAUUCCCAAUGGCACAGACCAGGUUCUUGCCUUCUGAGAGGAUAAUGAGGGGAUAAGGUCACUGCUCUUGUAUGACAUUGUCAGAUUAAAAAAAAAAAAAAAGAAUGGAUAACAGCCGACACUGAGUUUAAAAGUCAUGUGCACCACACGGUGCAGGCAUGAAAUAGCUUUCCUCACAACCCUUGGAUGUGAGGUUAUCUACUGCCAGCUACCCAACUCGACAUUCCUUGACUGGUUACGUGGGCACUCUGCCACCAUACAUAAAAGAGUCUUCCAUUCUUGAUUUGUGUCUUGGAAUGCCUCCUGGUGGGAGAAGCAUGGGGCAUAGAGUCAGGAAAGCAAAUUCCCCACCUCCUGUGACACUUGUGUGUGACAACAGGGAGGUCAUUCCCUUUCCUUGAAUGAAUAGUUUUCCUACCUGGAAAGCAAAGUUUCAUUUCUUUUGCUCUGAUAAUGUACCCAACAAAGGGGAACUUUGGAAAGAAAGGGGCUUAUUUCAGCUUACGCGUCCAGCUUAGUGUCCAUCAUUGUGGGAAAGUCAGAGUGGUGGGAGCUUGAAGAAGGUGAGGACAUCCACAGUCUAGAGCCGAAAGACAGAUGCAUGCAUGUUCACAUGCUCACUUGUCUGUGCUCAGCUCAGUCUCUCCAUUCACACUGGUCAGGAUUUCCUGCCUAGGGAAUGGUCCCACUCACAGUGGGCUGGGUCUUCCCAAGUUAACUAUCAAUUAAAACAAUCCCCUACAGAUGUGCCCACUGGCCAAUCAAAUGUAGACCAUCCCUCACUGAGACACUUUCCUCAGGUGAUUCAAGGUUUUGUCAAGUUGGCAAUUAAAGCUAACAUCACAGGUACUAAUGAUCUCAUGGUUGGGAGAAUGAAAAGGACAUGAGAAACCCUUCUACGACUGCAAAGCAUAACACAAAUUCUGUUUAUCAAUAAAGCAUUAAGUAGAGCUAUGACAAAGCACAGGUUUAUAAAGGAGACCUAGGGUUCGGCAUUAAGUUUCUUCUUCAAGAACAGAACAUACAUGUGAAGGGUCUACGGAGGACUAGGUGCCCAAACUCUGCCUAUGUGGUUACUUCAGUGUCAAACUUCUGCUUCUGUAACCACAGAGAGAAUGAAUUUAUAGAUGUAUUUCUAUUGCCUACUCUGUUUUAAACCCCAGAAAACUGAUCAGCAAUUUUCACAUAUACACAUAUAAUUUAUCCUAUUACUAGUUUGAAAACUUUUGCAACUAAUAAACCUUAAUCAAGCCAAAAAAUUUUUUAACUAUUGCCCUGUAUGCCCAUAUGAUACCGGGUGAACAUGAACUAUCAUAUUUUAAUAGUUAUUUUAAUCCACAUCCUAUUUUUUAAAAUUUGAUAUGCUGUAGAUUUUCAUGAUUCUUUUACAUUAUUUCCUUAAUUUCAGAUGGACUUUUGUUUGAUGCAGCCUCACCAGGCGAAAAACAAGCAAGAUCAGAAAAAUAAAGUGUCUUACUUGGGUAUGACAGCAAGGCACAAAAUCACUCCCUUUAGGUGGAUGGCCCCUUGAUCACUGUGAUUAUAUUUUUAAAAUACGGUGUCUGAUCUCUAGGGCACUUUAUCUGCAAUUAAGGCUCUCUACCAUUAGGUGGCAGUAGGGUCAUGAUCAUGAUUAGCCAUGUAAAUGAUAUUCUAGCUGGAGGUGUGUGUGUGUGUGUGGGGGGGGUAAGAACUUGUAUUUCUUCUCUUUUCACAAGGGAUGCUUUGAAAAAUGAAAGCACACAGUUGGGAGUAUCUAAGGAGUUAUUUUAGUUUUUAACACUUAAGAUGAACAAAUAUGAAGUAGUUAUGGCCUUUAAUAACUCAACACUAAAUACUUUAUCACUAGUAUGCGCAUGCAUUUUCUGCCAUUCCUAACAGAUACACAGUUCAUCCUAAACUCUAUGAGAAUCCCUUAGCCUGAGUCCUGACACCUGCUUCUGAGUUCCUGGACCCCACUUCCAUGUUUCCACAAACCCGUCUCCGUGGCAAGGGACCACAAGAUCCAGCACUUUGACUGGCAAAGACCACUUCAGAAUGUACUGCUCUGGCUCCUGGGAAGAAGGAAGCAAGGAUGCCACAGGCAUCUGAGAGCAACGAAUACUGAGACAUUAACAGGGAAGAGGGGAUGCUAAGCUAAAGAAAAUUGUGAUGCUGGACUCUGGUAUUAGGGGAGGUAGACAGAUUCCUCCUCCUAAGGGUGUUCUUGAGAUAGAGACUUUGUUCAAUAGGGUAGCACUGUCGAAGAAGCCCCUUCAGAAAUGACACUCAGGGUCAGGUGCUGCUCGCGCUUGUUUUAUAAGGGAGUGGUGUUUCUCUACUGCAGAACACAUAUCUUGUUGACAGUCAGCCAGAGCCGCACAGGUCUCAUCACUAGAAGUAAUCAGGGUAAGAUAGGGCCACAGUAGCUUCGGCCCUGAGGGCACAUGUAGCUUUACCGCCUGGGUUCCUGCGGGACAUCACUUACCCAUCCCAGUGGGGAUCAUAUUCUCUUCCCUGUCCUGGCCUUUUAUCAAAUCAAUCGAUGGUGCCACACCUCAUCCUAGUCUCAGGGUUAACGUGCCUCAUUUUUUGACGACUUGCAUUCUUCUGGUCACAGUUUCAUGGGUGAGAGGCACCAGACAUGAAGUGAUUUAUUCUGUUUAAAGCAGUUGAUGGGUCAGUAGGAUGGCUCAGUGGGUUAUGGUGUAUGCUGCCAAGUCAGACUAAGAACUAAGUCUCCAGACACACGUGGUGGGAGUAGAGACCAACUCUUACAAGUUGCCCUUUGACCUCCAUAUGAAUGUCAUUGCAUAUGUGAGCACACACACAUAAGUAAAAUUUUAAGAAUGAAAUAUAGCAAAAGGAGUUGAGACUGUUUUGAGCUUCAAAGUGCAUUAUCCCAAUAAUUGCUCUGUGUGUGUGUGUGUGUAGGUGUGUAUAAGUUUCUGUAUAUGUCUGUGUGUACAUGUACAUAUGUGUAUAUUUGUGCGUUUGUAUGCUUGGAUACAAGUGCAUUUAUGUGUGUAUGGAAUCUAGAAGUCAACACUGAUUAUCUUUCUCUAUGGCUCUCAAGCUAAGUUUUUGAGACAGGGUCUCUUUGUGACCCUCAAGCUCAUUGGUUGACUAUGCUGGCUGGCCAGCAAGCUCCAGGACUGGCAUAUCUCUAUCUCUCAGUGCUAGGGUUCCAGACUCACGCCACCAUGUUUGAUUUUACAUUGGUGAUGGGAUCACACUCUGGUUUCUCAUGCUUACAGGACAGGAAUGCUACCCACCAAGCCAUCUGUCUCCUCAGUCCUCACUGCUGGCUUGAGUAUGGAUUUGGACAAAUGGCUUUUAUGGUUGGGAAGGAUCUGUAAGGCUCUGUGUCUCCUUCCCAUGGCUUUAUGGCUUCUUGGCUUCCUGGCUCUGCUCUUUGAGACCCUUGCUCCUCCUCUGUGGGUGCUAUUGUUAGGCAAUUCUGCUUACAUCCUGAGAGCCAACACUAGCACACGAAAGUCUUCACUGUGUUGUGGAUUAGGAAGCACCCCUUUUCUGUCCCUUGUAAUAAGCAAGCACACCUGUCUGUCUUGUCCCCUAGACUGAUAGAGUGCAGCCCCUGUCUCUGAAAAACAGCCUAGCUAAGGCUUGGAUCAGUCAAUCUUGGUGUUUUCUUCUUGGUGAUGGGUUUCCUCAACUUCCCUUCUCAGCUUGAUUACCCUCUUCCUUGUUGGCAGUGGGUGUCCGGCAGACUGUUUGUUUCCAGGGAUCUAUGCCCUAGUCUGGUGAGGGCCACCAGUACUGGAGGCAGAGCAAUGGGGGCAUCUCCAUAAAGCUCUUGUGACCCCUGGGUCCCAGUGUUUCCUCAGUUACUCUGGCAGCUGUGACUAAGGCAAAGCAGUGUUCUGUGCUUGCGCUGGCUCAUUGCUUAGCAGGAUAAGAAUAAACUGAGUUAUGUUACUUCAAAAAGAAAAGCAUCCAACAUACCCAGUGUGGGGAUGCUCCCUCUUGAUAGAGGGAGUCUGAGUGAUGACUAGCCAGACAUAGGUUCUCAGGGGUGGGACUCCAAGCUCAGGACCUUAGGUCUGUGAGUCAAUUCAGCCCCUGUUAGCAAGGCAUCAGAUGUUCACAUGUGGAUGUUGUCUGGGACUCACAGAGGAGGAAGGUGGCUGUUUACCUCAAGGGGCCCACAAGAGGGACAGACAGACCAGCACUUAAGACCAUAGCUUGCAGGGAGGGGAGAGAGUCCUGAUCCUUGCUGGGCACAGGAGUCAGCUUUUACAAGGAUGUACCCCCAUCUAGGCAAUCUGAAACAAGAACAGCUGCCCUUAGAUGCUACCCACACCAAAGCCUGGCUAAGCUGGAGCUUUCUGGACUAGAGAAGGCUGGAGGAUUUAGUUAGGUGAGCCAAUGUCCCCUGCUACUGACUCAGAGAGAGUUCCAGCCUCAAGAGGCCUGGCCUCUCGGGCUAUCCAGGAUCUUGCCUGGGCUUUCUCUGAACCUCUCAGCUCGGCCCAUCCACAGCUCAAGCAGCAGGCAGGCAUCUUGGGUAUAGACCUUGAGUCCUGUACUUCCUCAGCCCACUCAGACUUCACACUUUCCCCCAACCUGCUUUUCCUUGAAACAGUUUCUCAGAAGGGAGUUUGAAGCCUCCUUUCUUUCUCUUCAGAAGAAAACAUUCCUCUAGAACCAUCUGCUCUGAAAACCCAUCCAGAUAUGUCAGUGGCUCUUUCUCUGGGACCACAGGCCAAUAUCACAGGUCCCCAGUGUCCCCCAAGCUCUGCAGGUAUAUGCAUGUCCAUUCUUUUUUAAAUUUUUUGAAGAUGUAUUUAUUUCAUUUUAUGUGUAUGGGCAUUUUGCCUUCAUGUAUGUCUGUGCACUAUGUGUGUGCCUGGUGCCUGAGGAGGUAAGAAGACAGAAUUGGACUCCCUGGAACUGGAGUUCUAGAUUUUCUAUAGGUUCUUGAAAUCCAACUUGGGGUCCUCUGCAAAAAACAAGUGGUCUUAACUGCUGAGUUAUUUCUCUAGCCCCUGUUCAUUCUUGUCUGACCUGAAGGCUGCUACAGGUUGAUGUUAAGAACAGAAGGGGUGCUGGGUGGAGAGGUACAAGCCUUUAAUCCCAGCACUCAGUGGGCAGAGACAGGUGGAUCUCUGUGAGUUUGAGGCUAGCCUGGUCUACAAAGCAAGUUCUAGGACAGCCAGCGCUACAAAACCCUGUCUCAAGGAAACAAAACUAAACAAGAACUGAGUGGGGUUGGAGGGCCUUCUCUAGCACAAUGGCAGGUCAAGACAGGCUAAGGAAGAGUGGGAAGGGAGCAGGGCCAGGAGUCCCGGGUUCAAGUGUGCUUUGCCCAUGACUCAGCAAGUACCUUGGUCCAGGAACUCCAGCUUGUCCUGCCUAAGUUUUCUGUGACCCACAGAAAGGAAACCCAGUGCGAUAAGGCUGAGGUAGUCUGGGGUUAGGGUAGGAUGCACUGCUCUAGGCCUAUGGACCUGCAGUUCUCCACAGAGCCAGGCAAGGAAGACGUUAAUAUUCUCAGUCUAUAAGUAGCUCCUGCGGUUGCAGAUAAAAUUAAAUGGCAUGACUAUUUUGGUAGAAAGUCAGGUAAAAAAAAAAAAGCCGAAAAAUAAGCUCUCUGUCAAAUGCCAAUCCCCACCCCCCAUCCGCCACACACACCCUGUUCUUUUUUUACGCCCAUUUGGUAUUUGUUUUUAAUUCUGGCUGAUUGUCAAUUUUAAAACCUGAUGCAUAGCGUGGCUUGCUAUUCCGGAGGCGUUAUUUUAAGAUAAAACAAUGUAAAUUCUGCCUUGGGAUGGCAGAUGGCUGGCAGUUCGCUGUUUGGCAAUGCAACUGGUAUGGUAUGUUGAGGAUUGAGAGCAGCAGGUACAGGGCUCAAUUCGAAACCGCCACAGAUGCUCGGAGGGAGCGGGGGAGGGGCGCAAGCUGGUCAGGAAAUCGAGUACGGUACUGGGAGCUCAGAGGGGGGAAAAAGAUGGUAACUAGCUGAAAGUUUGCUUCUUCUGGGCUCUUCUCACUCUCUUUCUUUGUCUUUGGCUGCUCUGUGGAGAUUCGGAAAGGCCCUUAGAGGUCAAGAGCUGGUGAAUGCUUCUCAUUUUGCUUCAGCUCAGUCUGAUGGGUAAGGCCUGGGCUCCUUGAGAAAGCACAAGGCAAGGACAAAGGAGAUAAAGGAAAUCUGAAUGUGUUUUUCCACAGAGACAUGCAAAUGGCGGCAUCAAGCAGGGAGCCUGCACCUAGUGCAGACAUUGUAGGGAGGACGGACCAGAGUCUGAGGAAGACACAGAGCACUGCCAAAGGCAGUUUCUCACCUGAAGAGCCUCACUACAAAAUCUUCCCUGUCACCUUCACUGUGGGGCCAGAGAGUGACCAGGAGUUGGGUGCUGACCUGGAGAGGAAGAGGUCAGAGGGGGUCCAUUCAGAGCCAGUGAGGACUGCUGAAUGCUUUUUAAAAAGGUCACUCACCCGCAGUCUCCCCUUAGAAUCUCAAAAAGACUCAACAAGCAAACUCCUCUGUGUGAUUAUGUGAUUGCUGUGUGUGUGUGUGUGUGUGUGUGUGUGUGUGUGUGUGUAUGCAUGUAUGUGUGUGUGUGAUUGUUUAUAUGUGUGUAUGUGUGAUUGUGUAUGUGAGAGAUUGUAUGAGUUUGUUGCCUGUGUAUGUUUGGGUGUAUGUGUGUGUGUGUGACUGUAUGUGAUUGUGUGUGAUUGUGUAAUUGUGUAUGAGAGUGACUGUGUGUGACUGUAUGUGAUUGUAUGUGUGUGAUUGUGGUUUUGUGUUGUGUGAGUGAUCAUGUGAGUGAUAUGUGGCUGGCUGUGUAUGUGAGACUUUGUGUGAUUGUGUAUAUGUGUUUGACUGUAAUGCAUUUCAGUGUGUGUAAUUGUGUGUAUGAGUGUGUGAUUGUGUGUGUUUGAGUGUGUAUGUGAGACUGUGUGUGUGAUUGUGGGUAGUAUGUGUUGUGUGUGUAUGUGAUUUGAACUCUUUAAACUCUUUUUCUUAGUCUUACAGUGCUGGGAACACACAUGGCUGCUUUUGCUGAUGGCCCCCUGGGUAAUGCCUGAAGCAAUGUCUCUAUGAGGCUGCUGAAGGUCCCGAGCACAGCUGAGGCCAGAGGACCUGGCUUGGAUGAUGUAACUCCAGAGUAAGACUCCCUCCUAACCUAACCUAACCUAACCUAACCUAACCUAACUAACCUAACUAACCUAACCUAACCUAACAAACUUCAGAGUGCCAUGAUCCUAAAGAGUCACUGUAUUCACUAUGCAGGUGAAUUCCCCAAGGACCCCUUCCCCUUCCCUUUCUGGUGUCUUGGCAGAAAAGACAAGCUAAUCAAAAUUUAAAUUCACGGGCUCCUCUGGACCCUGAGUGAUGAGCAAAUGCUCUGUGAGUCUUUAGACCGGUCGAGGCUGUGUGCUGUCUCCUCAGCUCAGCUUGGCCGGGAUGCCAUCCGCACAUAGGCUCCCACCCUCAGCUGAGGGAAGAGUUAUUCCUCUCAACAAACCUUUAGUAGCUAGAGUCCCUAGGGACAAAGAGAUGACUCUGCUUUGAUUCCUGCCCUAAAGUCCUGCAAUGUGGCUGCAUACAGUCUCAUCAAGAUGUUGCCCAGUAGGGUCUAAACAAAAGAGACCCCAGAGGCUGAGGGGCUCUGAGCUCCUCGCUCCUCUGGGAGGGGUUGUGACCAGACAGGCGAUGUUGGGCCCUUCCCCUUCUGACCUAUUGCUCUGGUGAGGAACACAGCAUCUGUGGUCUUCCUUCUCUGUCUUCUGGUCCAGAGCAGAACACUCCAUGGCCAUAUUCCCUAGCUAUGGACCAGACAUCUCCCACCAGAAGAUGAAUGGGAGCUUCUGGAGCCGUGGGAGUCUGCAGGAGGCUGUAAGUGGUAGGAGGAGGCAGUUCCGAGAGACGAGACCGCUCUGCUGGUUGUGUCCCCAGCCAACCAUGCAAACCACAUCAGUGAGCUCUGGCAAGGAUUCCCGGAUGUCUUGGGAGUGCUCUUAACACCAAAUGGAUCAAAGAGAAAAAUCCCCCCAAGAUGCUGCAGAAACAGCAUGGCCUUCUGUUGUUGCAUGGUGACAUUUAAGUGUGUGGGGAGCGUCGGCCGCCAUGGUGGGAACCAGAACCCAUAGAAAGAGGGGGUGGGUGGGAGAGGGAACUGUGGUUAGAAACAGGCAAGGAACACUUUACAGGAGGGACCCUAUCUGAGGCCUCCCUCACCUCUGGGAAUGGUGGGGAGAAAGGGAGAAGAGCUGCUUGGUGAGUGCUAGACUCUAUAUGGAUGGCAUGGCCAGGGUCAGGGCUGUGCAAAGAGCCAGGAAUGGAAAACACUUGAUGCAAGGCUAGCCCAGGGCAGGGAAGGGGCCUCUUCCCACCCUCACUGCUCAUGAGCUGGAACCACUUUGGGGUUUGGGUUUCUUUGUUCACAGAGUAAUUGUGAGUAUUUCUUAUUUCCUUAACUGGUUGUCCAGCAUGUCCUCCACAACAUGGGGAAAGGGGAUGAUGUUCAUCUAUGAGGCAAGUGUCAUGGGGCUUCACUUUGGCAGUGGGUGGCAUAUUCUAUGGUGGGAAUGCUUCCAGUUAAAGGCAGUUACUAAUUUUCACUGUCCCAGGCAUGGCUACAGACACAUUUAUUAUCAGAGUAAUCUUGUAGAUACAAGGUUUCAGUGGGAUGUUUUUAUACCCACUUUACAGGUAAGAAAACUGAGGCUCAGAAAACUUAACUGAUUGAUUCAUCUGAGUCUCACAGAAAGAUACCAAAGCCAGAAUGGAAACCUCAUCUCUCUUCAUCUUCCAAGUCAAACAUUUCUACUCUGCUUCCUGGGAACAAAGGAGUUCAGCAAUAUUAAAUUCUAGUCGGACAGAGGCUUGAAAGAAAGUACAGUGCUCAUGUGCAGGAAGUUACUUCCUCCAGGAAAUGGAGAAGAGGGCAUUGACAGGAAGGUAAAAGGGGCACAUAGAAGAGUAACACUCUUAUGCUUAAGGUGUUAAGUGUAUGCCAGAGACCAUGCUUCACACAGCAAAAUUCAGACUCAACAAAGUAGUAUUUUUAAAAAAAUUAUUCAUUACUAUUGUGUGCAUGUGCACUACGUGUGUAUGUGUGUGCGUGCACCUUCAAGCUCAAGCAUGUAUGCUACAGGGUGUGUGGAGGUCAGAAGACAACUUAGUGGAAUCUGGUAUUGAGUUCUGAUGCCAUGUUUGCUUAGCAAGCACUUUACCCACUGACCCCGAGGAGUUCCUCUCUUUAGGCAGCCAGACACCACAGAAACAUUUAAACAAAUGGCCGAAUGUAGAUGCCUCAUUGAGAGUUGUGAGGAAGGCUGAGGGUUCCUAAGCAGGUAGGGUGUGAUCAGUGGCGUCUCUCAGGAGCAGUUUUUACUUCUAGUCUGAGUUUUCAGUCCUGAAGAUUCUUGUGAGAUGAAAGGACAGGCUGAUGCCUGUCCUCGUACCCAAAGAUAUCUGUCUCCCUGUCGGGGGACAGUCAGAGUCGAUAGGACCAUUUCUUCAUCUUGCUCUCAGCUACCAGUGUGUAAAGGCGAGUUAGAGAUUCAAACUUGGAAAUGAAACAGGGCUCUAGGUUCCAGGCACAAGCCUCACAGGCAUAACGUAAUGAACUUUCGACACGGACUCCCAAGCUGUUGGCCAGAUAGGGGCUAGGAAGCUAUUAAAGUGGCUCAUGAUGUCGACAGGAAAGUGGCGCUGCUCUCUGCUCUGUCUUCCCUAGCACUGUACCUUUCAAAAGGCCUGUUAUCCGAGGGAAGGUAGCAAAUGUCUUUUGAAUUAUGUCUUCAAGAAACAAUACUUUUCUGCUCAUUAAAUGUGGGGGUGGUGAGAUAUGACCGUGAGCUGUGAGCCUCAGAGGACAAAGGCAGAGGCCACCAGGGUGUUGCUUGGCUCUAUUAGCUGGGCAAGGCUGUUUAUUGGGUUGAGAACUGCUUUAUAAUUAGGGAGUGAAGCAAAGGCACAGAUAAGUGACUGCUGAAGAAAGUACUAGAAUAGACAGAGGCAGGGGAGCCACAGGCUGGCCCAACCCCUUUCCCCCUCAUCACGGAAGUUAGAAAGAGAGCUGAACCUUUGUAACUCAGUAUCUAUCUCCCCAGAGCAGGUAGCAGAGAGCCCUGGCUAACAUCCUAGAGGUGGCCCUCCUCCUAGACGAAGCUCAGAGCCUGUGUUCUGCCACUUAAAUGAACAGCUAUUCUCCUGGGGGAAAAGACACAUUGCCAAAGCUUUGUGCCAGUUUGUGCUGGCUUUGUGUUACAUACAGGACACUGUAUUGCUGGACAACCAUGGCAAGCUCUGCCACCAACAGCUUAAAAAUCUCACCGAGGAACGGGUGGGUUCUGAGCAGAUGGUAACUAGCUGAGGCAUUGCCCAUAGUCCAUAGCAAAAGCACACCAAGAAAUUAAACUCGAAAUCUACAACCAAACUAGGGGAAAGGAUACCAACAACGUGUAUGCCAAUGAAUAAGGCUCAUGUCAUGAGACAUGAGACAGCCAGUCAUGCCGGAGAAAGCAGAGGGAAGCCAUAGGCCAAUGGGGAACCAGCAUCAACACAUCCAUGGUUUUUGUUGACAAGCAUGGAGAGGGACAAACCCAGCUGAGGCUGCGAGGAAUGGUCUUCACACAGCCAUGCAGUCAAAAAGCAAAAUUCCUAUUGAGCAGUCAAGAGACUACAAAGGCCAAGCCGAAGGCCAAAGGACUAAGAAGGAAGCUACCAAAAGCAAGCCACUGCAUGGCUUUCAGACUCAGUGAAGUAGCAGAAGGGGACCCCAAGGCCAGAAAGGCCAGAUGAAGCCACUCUUCCAAAACGUUGGAGACUGACCUUUCCAUAAAACCCUAGGUCCAAAAAAGGGCCUGAGUCUGAGACCUCCCUCUAUCUUGGGAGAACCUGAGGAAGUGGCAGAAGGGGGACUCUCUGUAGUGGUUGAUAUGCAGGUGAAAUCCCAGACAAAACCAACUCAAAGAAAUGGAAAACUAGGGUACAGGAGGGCAUCCUUAAAAAUCACAAAGGCAUGCCAAAAAUCAAUCAAUCAAAACCUUAGAAUAUUGUUUUCUAAGGACACAAAUGCUUUAAGAACAUGAUGUAAGGCCUGAAGUUACAUUCUGGGAUAAUUUUAGAACUUUAAGGAGUAUAAAAGCUGAUAUGUACAACAGUGGCAUACAAGAAUGGAAAGUGAAAGACAGAAGUUUAAAAACAAUUUUGGGCAGGGAAGAGAUUGAGACAGGAUCCUGCACAGCCCAGGCUGGUCAUGAAGUCACUAUGUAGCUGAUCCUCUUGCCUCCCCUUGUUGAGUGCUAGAUAUGCAGUGGGUACCAUCAUGCCUGUUUCAUGUGGUGCUGGAGUUUAAUCUCAGGGGUCUUCAUGUACCAGACAAGCACUUGACCAACUGAGCCACUGCCUCAGGGUAUACGUUUUCAAAAACAAAAAAGAAAUGAGGAAAAUGAUAGAGAAGUUCCUUGAGAAAAAGCCGAAUCCUGAAAGCCGGCAAAGAAGAACCAAGUGACAUGAAUAGGAACUGUUCCUAUUCGAGAAGAAACAGCCAAAACAAGAAACAGAAAAGCGUCAACAUGCUUGAUAAGGCAGCUUCCCUCACAUUCAAGGAGGUUUAAAAUGACAUAUUGAAAAAUGCAUGGCACACUUCAGACCAUCAUCCCAGAGUGACCAGUACCAGUAGUAGGUGAUCUAGAAAAACUCCAGGACUGAAAUCUGAGGAUAAGAUCCCUAGGCAUCUAGGACAAAAGAGCACAUGAUUUGUAACAAAGGAGUUUAAGCUAUCAUAUGCUUUUGGAUAGCAAUACUUUAAUGCUAGCAGAGCUUGGAUGAUUUUCUUACUUUUUUUUUUAUUCAAUAUACUCACACUUCUGAUAGAAAAGGAAGUGUGGACAGUUUUUAUACCCAGCAAAACUGCCUUCCAGUAAGGGCACACACUGCAAUCACCAUACAAGAAUUCAGAGAACAUCAUUUCCAUGAGGUGAGCCUUCACUGGGAAUCUACUAGGAAAUUACUCUCAGACAGCUGGAACAAUGAAGGGGCAUCACAUAAAGAUGGAAAGUGAGUGUUAACCAUGGUGCCACCCAUGGAACCAAGACUGGAGAACUACAAGGGGGAGAUACAGUAUGUGUGGACUCUAUGGUCUGCUACUGCCAACACAAUACAACUGUGGGACAUGGGAGGAGGGAGGAUGACAGCAUCAAAUACAUUGAGGUGCUGUCAGUGUUGCCCUAGAUGGUGCCAAUACUAUUACUGUUAUUCUGAAAUGAUUGUGAUAAUCGUGGGAGGUUCCCAUUCUGUGGUUUGUUUGUUUUUUUAAAACAAGGAUUCUUGGUUUGAAGAGAAGAGAUGUGGAUGAGACUUAAAAUUAGUUGAGUGAAAACUGUAGGGCUUGGGAUCUGAAGUAUCAGUUUGAAUUCACAAAGUAUUGACACUUCCCCUUACAUGCACCUCAUAUAUGUAUGUUCUAAAACCUGGGGGUGGGGGUGGGGAGUAAUGACCAAUCCAGUAGCCUAAGAAUUCUUUGCCAAAGAGAUUGGGUCAGGGUCUAGUUGUGUGGACUGAGAGAUGAUCAACACACUGAACUGCAAACUAAGGUUGGUUUAUCCAGACUGCCUGGCUCUGAAACCAUCCUUCUCUUUGGGUACGGACUACUUGCUCCAGGCUUCCCAGCUACGUGAAGGGGUUUCAGGUCAAGGCAAAGGCUCAGUAUUCUGGAAUGCUGGGCCCAUCUUGACUGUGGGACUGCAAAGGGUCUGGACUUCUGUUAGCUUCAAUGUGAAUAGGCCAUUUCUUCAAAUCCUUUCUUUAAAUAUGAGAAUCAAGUUUCUCGGUUGCUGAGAGUCUAGGAUCCAGUUCCUAUGGAAAGGGACCAUGACUGGAUAUGAUCAAACUCCAAGGACUCUCUACUGUCCUACUCUGACCCCCUGUCAUAUGAUGGCUGGGCCUUCCUGGUGUAGACUCUCAGAUUUGAUGGACUCCUUCCCAUAUCUGCUGUGGAAGCCCUCCUAAGACCUUCCUCUAUCAGAAUCUUCUUUCUGCAACUGGAGUCCAACCACCAAGAAUCCAAGAGCAGCCUGGUUGCUUGACUCUACAGCAACUAUGUCAUACUGCCCAGGCCUCCAGUCCUUCAUGUAUUAAAGAGUUGAUAGGCCAGGCUAGUCUACUCCUCCCUGCACUAGCUCUGCCACAGCAUGCCAUCAUUUUCUGUCUCUUACCCAUAGUUAAGAACCAGGGACUCAGGACUUCUGGAUGCAGCAAUGCCUUAGCUGGGAACAUCCUUCCAUGACUUUGUUUGCUCUAGCUCAGAAAUUGAGAACUGAAGGGGUAGCAGUGUGGUUGGUGCACACUCUAUCUCCCAGUGUCUCUGAGUUGACUUUCUCUCACCCACUCUCCAUCCUUCCAGGGCCAGUCUCUUCUCAGUCGUGCAUCAUUACUCAGCACCUAUAUGUGCUCUGCGUGCCCAGACCAUGUGCUAGGCAAAAAGGAGUGACGGGGGUUGGCGGUGGUGGUGGAAAGAGAAGCUGGAGGAAGAAUCCUAGCAAUGCAGAUGGUGAAAGAGACAAACACAAUCCUGUCCUGAAAGAAGUAAAGAUAUUUGUGCAACCAUGACAGCAGUGCACAGAGGGAGGAAAUGCAGACAACCCAAAGAACAUGCGACACUGGGCUGGUUAAAGCCAUGGUAUAUCUAUUUAACAGACACUAUGCUUUAUAACUUGGCAAUGAUAACAACACAAUAAAAUAACAUUUAAAGUAUGAAAGAUAUUGCAGUUGCUUGAAAGAGAAAUGUUUCUCAUAGGUUCCUAUAUUUGAGCAUUUGGUCCUCAGUUGGUGGCACUCUUUGGAGAUGCUUAGGAGCUGUGUGGCCUUGCUGGAGGAAGCAUGCCACUGGAGGUGGGGUUUUGAUAUUGUGAUAUUUCUGGUUUUCACUCUCUGCUUUAUGCUUGGUACUAAAGAUGGGAACUCUCAGUUCCUGCUACUUGCUCCCAUGCCUCCGCCCUGCCAUGAUGAAAUCUAACCCCCUGAAACUAUAAACCAUAAUAAACUCUUUCUUGUUUCCUUGGUCACAGUGUUUUAUCAGCAAUAGAAAAGUAACUAGUACUGAUAGUAAUAAAUAUUGAUCUAUGAAAAGUUAUGAUACAAAACAGAAUGUAUUCUAUAGUAGGGCCUUGUUGCUUAAGGUAUUUGUUAGCAGCACACAUACAAAAAUAAUAAAAAUAGGGUUGUGAGAUGGUGCAGUGGUCAAACAUGUCUCUGCAAGGCUUGCCUAGUGACCCAGGACCCACAUGGUGGAAGAAGAGAGCUGACUUCUACAAGUUGUCCAGACAUCCAGAUAUGCUUUUUGUGGCAGAUAUACCCCCUACCUCACCCUACUCCAGAGACAGACAGACACACACACACACACACACAAAUAAAUAGACAAAUAAACAUAAAAAUAUCAUUUUUAUUCUCUUCUUGCUGCUUAUCUGUGUUUUCCUUAAUAGACAUUCAUUCACUGAAAAACAAGGGUUAAGACAUGAUCUCCCAGAAAAUUUCUUAAGAAUUCACUGACCCCACUCUAUGUGCCCUGAGUCUGGGUGUUUAUUUUGUGCUACACAGUGGGAUUUCACAAACAGUGUGGGUUCCACUAACUCAAAGUCCAACUGCGUGGAAACUCAACUUGAGACUCAGCAAGACUUCGGUGAGCCGACUUCUCUGCAGAGUGGGAGGUGAGACCUCAUGCAUGCAUGCAAGAUCGUGUUCUUCAUGGCUUCAAAGCAAAAGAAUACGAUGUAUGUAAAGACUGGAGCUAGCUAAAGAAAGAUACAUCAAACAAGGCGGAGUGUCCCUACACAUUCACCGCAUAUACAAACGCUAACCCACAGAUAGCAGCUGGGACAGGGGGUGGCCGCAACAAGGUGCAAUAUGGCAGCAUCUUGCACUGAGAAGUGCAUUCUGGGACAGGCUAAGACAGUGUAAAAUCAAUGAGAACUCACCGUGGCUCUCUUCCUUGUGCUUUGGGAUAUUUUUCUCUACACCAAUGGUCCUGUUUCCCCUUUCAUAAUAAGGCUGUUUGCUUCUUGACAGCAUUUUGUUCCGUUGUUUAAUCUUUGUGGUUUUGAGAUACAAAAUUUCCUACACAUUAGAUGAAAAACUAUUUCUUUGCUUAAUUGUUCUGUGUAGGGUUCAAAAGAAUUUUUUGAAGUGGAAGGCUCUUGUACUUAGCAUCACAGAACGCAGAAGGUGAAGGGCAGUGAGUGGGAGUGGGAAACAAUGGAGAGAGGGAGAGAGGAGAGAGAGACAAUAUGAUUCUGAUCUUCUCAAAGUCAUUGUCUCCCACAAACAUGUCCAGGUUUCUAAUGCAGAACUGCAGUUGAAAGGUAGGACCUGGGCUCCCCACAGAAAUCACACGGAAGCACAAGAGAUUCUCGAAUCCUGCUCUCUUUCCAGGGCUGACUCCCGACACAAGAACACAGAUCCUCCAUUCCAAAGCUACGCACCACAGCCUCUGAGGAAGGAAGGACCAACAAGAAGACCCCCAUUCACUCCAUCACUUGGGCCUCUCCUGAGCCCUCCAGGAAGGAGCGUGGCAGCAGUCAGCAGCAGCGAUUCAGCCAAUCUCUAGGGAAAGUGCUGAACAGAAAGCUUGCUGCUACCCGAGGGGUUUUUCUUGGGCAAGACCCCAAGAGGCUGACUUUAGUCACAAAGUUGAUUCUCUGCAGAAGGCAGCUCCAUCUCCCAGGAUUGUCCUGGAGUGUGGCAGCUAACUUGAACAUGACUUUGCUCUGAAGUCUUUGUCUCACAGUGAAACUGUGCGCACACAUAAGCGUGCUCUGGCUGGGGUCCACAGUGACAGAGAAAUGUAGAGGAAGGAACUGCCAUGCGUUCUCCUCCUCCUCCUCCCACCCGCACGGAGAUGGAAAUGGGCGAAGUGACUUCGCCAGCGGAAGCACACCCCAAAGACAGUUCAGAUGGCCGUGAGGAGAAGACAUUGUGGGCCUGCCAGCUGAGCAGUGUGCAAAGCUCUGAUGCACUGCGCACCAGAGCUGAUUUUUAAAAAUAAAAGAAAAAGAUAGCUGAGGCCUCUUCCUCCCUCUGGUUGCUAUCAACUCUCCAAAAUGCGGGGUCUGGCGCGCUUUCUGAUCCCUUGAGUUUGAUGCACGUUUGGUUCACAGACUGCAGUGUGUCUGCACCAGAUGGCCUUGAGUUAAUGAACACAAACUCAUCACUUUUGCUCACCAGGGAAAUGUGCAGCUCAAUCUGAUUUGUACUCUACAACUAAAAAUAUUUGAGUAUUUUUAGGGAGCAUUUUACCGAGACAAAAUGGCACUUCAGGAAAGCAUUCAAAACAAGGGACCAUCCAGCAAAUUGCAACUCUGAUCUAUGCAUUGAGCAGACUCCUCAGACCAUGCGUACACCAAAAUUAAAGCUGUGGGCUCUAAGUUGAACAUCACGGUGACCUCACUUUGGCCUGUCCCUGCCCCUCUCUCUGGCUCCAGUGUCUUCCUGAAUGCUGCAGUUGUGGUCCCCAAAGUACCGAAAAGAACUCAUUUCAGAUGCUAGAUCUGUUCAUCUGCACACUAGAAACUUGCUCUUCACAGUGUCUUUGGUGCACAGGCAAGCACAUGCACAGCUCUUAUGCAUAUUUGCAAUGUUUUCUUAUUUGCAUGUUUUUACACAUAACAGUUUUUGGACCCUGAGAUGACUCACUAAGUGAACGGUGUGGGACUUCCAUCCUCUGCCCUCAGCUUUGACUUCUUUGGGCCUAGACUCUUCCGGGUUGUCUGCCCCAGCCAACGAAGCCGUUUAUACCUCGUGAUGGACCAGGAAAUGGGAAACUGUUUUGUACAGCUCAUUUUCCCCCUCCUCCAAGCUCCCACAUUUUCUGCUGUUUUAUUUAGAAAUCACGGCAAUUUGGCUCAUGAACAUCGUAGCCUCAGCUCCAGUCAGCCAGCUCUACUUAUGGUGCUCUCUGAACUGAGCCAGCAACCAUGUGACCGACCGGCUGCUAUUCGCACUAACCAAGAUUGCAGUACCCUGGGUCCACAGUCACCCACCACCCCCAACUCAGGGGCCUUUCCUGGAAGUAUUUUAGAAAUGCCAGCCCUGGCCCCACCCAAGACCUCAAGAUCCCCAGAGGGCAGGUAUGCAAUAAGGCUGUGUGAGGUAACCCCUAACGGUCAUGUUACUGUGGGAAGUGGUCUUGGAGUCCAGCACGCCAAGUAUUCCUAUAGGCUGCAAAUGCCCUACAGGGAAGAGAGUUUAAUCAGGUUUCUAACGAAGAUGGAAGCAUCAGCCUUUUGUGGAUAUCUUUCACAGUUUAAAAGAAAAAGAUGAAAAAGAAUCAUAUGUGUGCAUAUGCGAGUGUGUAUGUGAAUGUGAAUGUGCACCUGAGUAUUGCUGCUUUGGAGGACAGUGGCUUUAGACUCCCUGGAGCUGGAGAUACAGGCAACUGUGAGCCACUCUAUGUGGGUGCUGGGAACUGAACCCAGGUCCUCUGCAAGAGCAGCAAGAGCUCCUGACUAUGGAGACAUCUCUCUACUUCCCUUGUUUGUGUUUUACUGUGAUCAUCUACAAACAACAAAAAAGUUACUGUUAGCAGAAACACUAUUACUAUUACGGACACACUAUCUUUUAGGAGAGAUGAGCUCAGAGAGGGGAAUCAGGCAGGAUCUCAUUUGGACUUGGGUGAUUGGUCACACGAAGAGUAGGCUUCCAGACAAGGUCCAGGGUCUCAGAGCAUAUGGGGCAUUUGAUUCUCUUUAGAAUGUUUAGCUGAACUGUUCUGUCAAGGAAUUCUAGAGCAGAUCCAAAGAAUUACAGGAGACAAUAGUUUUGUGCAGUGGUUUUAAAGACCUGCUUGGUUGGCAUCAGGGCAGGGCAGUAAGAUAACUUCUGAUUACUGACCACGUGUAGCCUGGCUGACUGGCAAGUGACUUCGAUGGUCCUGAGUGACCCUGUGACUGGCAAAGGAGAAGCUGGUGACUCUGGAGAUGGAAGUAGGAGGUGGAUCUAACUCAGAGAGGCAGCUAUGCUGGGUCUGGAGUCAUGUAACUCAGAAAUGCACCCUACCAGCAGGUUCACAGGACACCAGAGCAGGAAGGGCUUUGCUCUGUCUACCCACCCAAGGAUGUCACAUCUGACCUUCAGAAGCCACAAGGACACUGAGAGGAGAGCAAUACAGGCCCAGACUGACCUACCCAACCCUGUAACCUUGUUAGGACUUGAGGUGGGCUAACCCUAGUUGAGAAACAGUGGAAAGCAAAAUGGUUUCCACAGAAGCAUCUGUUGGUGAGGAAAGAGAAUUGCAGAAGGAUGUUUGUUUGAAAAGCAUUAAAAUUCAACCUUUGGAGAAGAAAGACCAAAGCCCUGAGACCACUUAAGGUUACUGGUUUGUGACUCAUGACUUUGCAUAAAAGGAGAAAGUGCCCCGAAUGUCCUAGCAGGUUAUGGGGAAAUGAAACUGAGCAAGGCCUCCUGACUCAGGCUCAGCAACUUCCUUUAAAGUCAGAAGUUAGAGCAGCCCAAGGGAGACCUUGCCUUUACUGAGUUUCCUUGUCACUCUGGACUUUGUCUGUGACACUUGUGGGCCAUCUGAGGAUCCUGGGGACUCUGCCAUUCUAGCAUCCAAGAGUCUCUUACAGAGAACUCAAAGGUGACCUGUCCCAUACAUUAAGGACAAGCAGAAGCCCUUGUUCUCUGUCUGCUUGGGUCUUGUGACUCCAUGAGAAUGAGAGUUGGUGUUUGAAUAAACUAAGGAAUCAAGAAAGGGGAAGGGGAAUGUCCAAUGGCCAAGAAGACAGCACCUGUGAAAGUGACCGAUGACAUCACCAGCACUGAAAGAGCGGAGGGAACUGCACAUUAUACUGCAACCACUUCCCGUCACCAACGGAACCCAGAACGGCUGCUUUGCAAGCCCACAGCAGGAGAGGCGAACCUACUAUUGCUGGGAAUGCUGUCACCCACCAAAAGCCACUUCUAAAUAUAAACUUCAACAGCUAAAUAAUAGAUGUAUUCUGCUUUGUGUGUAAUUGCUUUAAUUUAUGGUUAUUGUAUAUAAUUUGCAUUACCUAAUCAUGUUUUAAAAUGAAGCAAUAUAUUGCAUAUAAUCCUUUGGAUUUCUGCAGGCACUCAGUCUCUUCUGCUCUCCCAGACUGGCAUUCUGCAUGGCACUGGGAUUCUCUGGCUAUUAUUUUUAUCGGGUAGGGAACCUAAGAACCUAAACAUAUGGUGACCAUUUCAAGAGGCCACCCUCCUGCCCAUAGUGGCCAUCACCCACAGUGACAAUCCCAGGUAGCCACCUUACCAUUCAGUGACCAUCUCAGGAGGUCACACAAUAUUCCCUGCAGCAACCAGCAUGACGCAGCAUUUCCUUAACGUUUACCCCGACUUCCAACUUAGGUCUAAAGAAAGACAGCCAAACAUGUGCCCAAUCCAUCCCGUAUUCAGCCCUGCUGUGUGUCAACUCUAAAGCUUCCUUGGUAGUCACAUGAGGCCCUCCUUUUUCUCUACCCAGAAGCCCUUGUUCUCUGUCUGCUUGGGUUUCUGUAUUACAGUGUUAAUGUUCUUACCAUAGCAACCUCUGAACUGAGACCCUCUCCUUGUUUCCAUGAGAACAUGUGACUUUUAACUCACAGUGACAAUCCCAGGUAGCCACCCUACCAUUCAGUGACCAUCUCAGGAGGUCACACAAUAUUCCCUGUAGCAACCAGCAUGACCCAACAUUUCCUUAACGUUGUGCAUGUAGGGGUAGUUAGAGAAGGGCAGGAACAAGCAGCCACAUUAAGAAUGACCAAUAAAGCCAGGUAUGGUGGCACAUGCCUUUAAUCCCUUCACUAGGGACACAGGUGGAUCUCUGUGAGUUCAAGGCCUGCCUGUUCUAUACAGCGAGACAAAACAACAAAAAGAAUGACAAAUUAAGAGGCUGGAGAGAUAGCUUAGCGGUUAAGAGAGUGUACAUACUUCUCUUACAGAGGGCUCAAGUUUGGUUCACAGUACCCACAUCAGGUAGCUCACAACCACUCCAGCUCUAGGGGAUCUGACACCCUCUUCUGGCCUCUGUGGGCACUGCACUCAUGUGCACACACCUACCUACAUAGAAAUAACUAAAUAUACAAUCCUUUUAAAAAAUGGCUGACCAAUAAUCCAUGAGAGAUAGAGUCUCUACUGAGUGUAAAGGCAGAACUGUGGGAGAUUCUGGGUGCUCAGCUUCGUCUCUUCAUGUCCAGAGAAUAAGCAGAUGAAGAGCUUGGCACUAAUACUACAAGCUUCCUUAAGAGAGGAGCCAUAAUCAUGCAACUUUUACUACUAUGGCAGAAGGAAGGUGCACAGAUGUCUCUGGAUUCUUACAGGACUCCUACUAGAGAUAUGAGACACAAACAAGGAGAUCACAUUAGACUAUCCUCACAUGUGCAUGGAGUUACAAGCAACACAAAAACAGGCAUAUAACCACUAACACGAGGAGAGAAGUCAGGAGCCGAACUCCAUCCAACUACAUUGUGAUAAAUCCCCAGUGAGCUAGCCAGUCUCCAGCUUGAACCAAGGCUGCUCAGAAAUAGCAUAUUUGAUUUCCAAGUCUCUACUAAGCUUAAUUUCAUGCAAGUAUAUAAGGAUUGGCCAGUAUAUAUGUGUGUGUGUGGGGGGGUAUAUGAUGUGUGAUGUUUGUGUUCCCAUGUAUUCAUGUGGAGGCCAGAAGAUGAUAUCAGGUGUCCUGUUCCAAUAAUCCUCAUGUUAUCCUCCUGAGAAUCUUUCCCUGAAUUUGAACAAAUUCCAAUAUUUUUGGCCUACAUACUAACACUGACAUUGCAGGCCCAUGUGGACAGGAGGCCACCCUGGCAUUUUAUGUGAGCAGUGGAGAAAUGAAUUCAUGCCCUUGUGUUUGUAUAGCAAGUUCUCUUACACACAAAGACACCUCUGGCUAAAAUUUGUUAUUGUGAGCUUAAAACAUCAGCAAAGAAUGACAUGCUGGAGUUGGCAUUUCUUACAAUGGAACUCCAUUGUGCUGUGUUCUAAAAGGUUUGCUUAAUAUCUGGUGGAUAUACAAACUCUGCUGGCAAUAAGAUACUGAAUUUAUAUGAGUCUUCACUACUGUGAGGAUAUGUCUAAUUAUAUUUAAUUUCCACAUUAUGUAGGAAAUGAAAUAGCGUAUAAUAUAUUUAUUCCAUACAUGUAUGUGUAUCUGUGUCCAAGCACAGAGGGAAUAUGUGUAUCUGCAUGCUCAUCAGGGAGUAUGUGUUAUGGGGGUGAUGCAUGGCCCUUGCAGCAUGUCACUUGCUCCCAGAUAUGCCUGUACUCCUUAAGAUAAGGAUCCCACAAUGGUCACACUUAUUAGAGAUAUAUCUGUCCUACAAAACAACAUCUUUUGACUCCCAGGCUGCCCCCAAGCAUUCUUUGCAAGCUAUCCUCAAUUAACUGUCAAGAAAUGUGUGGAUGCUACGUGUUAGGAUGGGGUGUUAUCACAAAUAUCCAAAAUGAAUCUUGCCUGCUGGUCUGAAAGCUGAAGUCCUUCCUCCACUAAUGCUGAACUUAAGCCUAUGACUUUUGAUAGCCAAGGGAACCUCAGUAAAGGAAGCAGAGGUAUGCCAAGCUCUGCAGUUGGGGUUCAGUAUGCUGUCAUCACCCCAAAAGCAAGACCAGCUCAGCCCAGAUAGCAUUUAUUAUAGAGAGAAUCUCUGUGUACUGUAUGGAAGCAUCACCUGUCAAUAAAAGCUGAGGCAGGAAAUAGGAGGUGGGAGUUCUGGUAGGGAGAGAGGAACUCUGAAAUAGAGUCAGGCAUGGGAAGAGAUUUGCCCUGAACUCUGAGGAGACAGAAGCAUGAAGCUGAGAAGAGGUAACCAGCCAUAUGGUACCCACAGAAUAGAAUAAAUGGGUUAAUUAAGUUGUGAGCUAGUCAGGGAAUAAGCACUAGCUUAUGGCCUAGGAAUUUAUUCACAAAUAAUAAGGCUCAGCGUCAUUAUUUACUGCACUGGGGUGCAGGUAGAAAACCCACAGUUAUAAUUCAUGAAGGAGAAAGACUGUAGAGAGAGGGGAUCAGAGAGUCACAAGUCCAACUGCAGUCACACGGAUGAGCCAGACACCAUGAGCAGAACAUCCUCGCAAGAAGAAGAGCCACAAAACCAAACCAUUUCUGUCCUAAACCACUAGGCUUUGGCCCAUCUGUUACAGAUCUGUAUGCAUAUCCUUAGUACUGUGUAGUAAGGAAAAGCAAACAUGUCUGUGCCAGUCAUCCACAGGCCCAAGAGUGGACUUGAACUUCGAGGAGAAGAGACAGUCUUGGUGAACUGGGAACCUCUAGCAUGGGUGUUCAGAUCCUGACCCUUGGUGCUGCUCUGGGAGAGCUGAGGAGCAUUUGGAGGUGAAGCCUCUCUGGGGGAAGUGGGUCAUGCGGGGUGGGACUUGGGAGUUUUACAGCAGGCCCACUUCCUGUCCUCUCUCUGUUUACCACCUACGGAUGCAGUGUGGCCAGCUGCCUCAGCCUCACUGCCUUCCCUGCAAUGGGCUACUCAUCCUUAAACCCUGAAACAAAGCUGUUUUCACUGGGUAUUUUGUCAUAGCAAGGAGAAGAACGAGAGCUCCAUUCUAGAACCACUGAGAAAUCACUGCAGCUAACUUACCCACUCAUUCGUGAUUCUCUGUGUGUAACACACUGGAAAUGGCUGGCCUCUAUCAAACACAAGCACAUGUGGACAGCUGCAGAGAGGUGAUAGCCAGAUGAUUGGAAGACAGGGUGACAAAGGCCUUCCCUUGGUGGUCACAUAACUCUGGACCACAGGGCAACAGUAGAACCCAGGCCUCUUCCUGCAUCUUCUUUUGGGCAACACCUGCCCCUCUUCGACAAGAUGAGAGGCUCUGGUCUUGCAGCUCAGAGCUAAGAAUCACAUGGCAGUGUUAAGUAAGAGGCUGCUACUUGGGACUGCAGAGUGUUCUGGCUUCAAAGUGAUCUUUGGGUAAACAAGAGCCACAAGCAGUGUUUCCCAGAGAGAUACUCAGCAAGACAGAGGAUGAAUCAACUUAUUCAUUCAUUAUUGAUACACACAUAUGUCAGAGCAGGAUCUGAGCUAGCGGGUCCCGUAGUGUGCAGAUGAUCUCUUUGGCUGGAUGUGUAGAACUGGAGGUGUUUAUAGGACUUGCCUUAAAAAUCUCUGCCCUUGAUUGUUAUGUUCCUGUUUGCUUGUGAAGUCUUCAAAUGAAUACAUGUCAUUUUAAAAACAAUAAGGAUAUGGUACAAACCUGUUGGCUGUACUCAAGGGCCACAAGGGAUCUACCCCCCAAAGAACAAAAUGCCACAUUUACAUUUGUGGAAUAAGCAGAUCGGGGUUGCCUCCUGUCACAGUGCUCUCGCCUGAACAGAUCAGGAGACAAUGGCUCUGGAAAGCAAUUUGCAAAUGGGUGGUACAACAGAUACAUACUUUCCACUGGGCGGGGAGUGUGGGGAAAAACACAUGCUAGAAACAAAUUUUAAUCAUCAUAAAUCAGGCUUCCAUUUGCUCAACUGUAAUAAUACAAUCCGCAGCUCAUUAUGAGGCUUCAUGCCGCCUUGAGAACAUGCUCGCUCCUGCAGGACUCGCAUCAUGGGUUGGAACAUCUGACGGGCAACCAAUUACAUCCCUUGUCAGCCCUGCUUAUAUACUGUUGGGAAGGGAGACAGACAGAGGCAUUCCAACAACUGGAACGCCCUUGCACUGAGAUGUCACUGAGCUGCAGAAAUGGUGAGAGAGACCCUGUCUCGAAAAAUAAGAUGGAGGGGCUGGAGAGAUGGCUCAGCAGUUAAGAGCACUGGCUGCUCUUCCAGAGGACCCACACUAUCCACAUCACAGCUCAUAGUCAUCUGUAAAUUUAGUUCUAGGAGCUACAACAACCUCUUCUGGCCUUCACAGGCAUCAGACGAACAUGAUACACAGACAUAAAUGCAGGCAGAUCAUUAAUAUUCAUAAAAUAAAAUCAGGUAGAGAAAUGACUGAGGCAGACAUCCAGCAUCAACCUCUGGCCUCCACAUGCACCUGCAUGAGUCAGUGCUCCUACCCAACAUGAACCAUAUAACACACAAUAUACCAUACAAUAUACAAUAUGGUACAUAUACCAUACAAUACACAAUAUAUACCACUGUGACCAGUUUAGGCCUCAAGGCCAGAAUGUCUAUAGACUAACGGGCCCUUUUGACUCAACAAGCAGAAACUAGUGAGCUUUGAGUUGGCUGCAAACACAACAAGCCAAGGCAAGGGGGAAUUGGCAAAGAAUAGACUUCAUGUCAUACAAUCUCUGCAGUAGCCCCAAUGUCAACUGGGACAUCCAACUGUCAGAGCAAAGUCAGGGCACUUGCUCUUAGUUGGAGGCCCCUCAACCAACAAAUACAUGGUCAGCUUCCAUCACUUUUGGUGGAUUAGUUAAGCUGCUUUGGCUCCUGGUAGGUAGCACGCGCACCCACCAAGAGCUCUCUGUAUUCUCGAAUGACACACAUAUGCCAGCUAAUUUUGAUGUGCCUUGACUAGCUCAAUGGUUGGGCAUUUCUAAUCCUCCCCUCGGUGAGUUUACAUUCUUCCCUCUUUUUCUGAGACAAUUUGCUAAAUCAACAUUUCAUCUCUGCUACCCAAAGACCCAACUAGGGUAGUGACUGCUAGGACCAUCUCUUUCCCGGCUCAUCGCCUGCAUAGUCUAAAAGUCCCGCCUCCAUCUUUCUGCCCAUCCAAUGGCUGGGUGGCAAUUCUUUAUUAUCAAUUGAAGCUAGCUGGGGGCAGGAACCCUCAGAUCUACAAGCAUGACUUUUGGGGAGCCAAAAUAUGACAAAGCAUUGGAACCAACCCUCAACAUAUUUUCACUAGAGAGGGCAUGCUGAUGUGUGGGUCAGGAAAACGACUACCUAGGUUCCUCUUAAGAAAUUUGAGGGCCGUCUUCGCUAAGCACAGGACUUUAUAAGAUACAUAGUUAUCUGUUGAGGAUGACGAUGGGAUGAGGGACAAGCUCCUUUGGCUUGAGGUUGUUCCACUUUGCCAAAUCUACUCAGCUCCGUGAACAGCCACACUGUCUAGUGCAUUCAUGUUUUCCCCAGGAUUACAACAUAGGGUCAAUUUGGGCUGUCUCCAGAUAGAGGGCACCUGUGUUCUUCCACUCUGCUCUCCUGUUUUCUCACCAACUCUAGAGCCUAUAGUUCUCUCAGCCUUACCAGAAGGCCCACGCUAAACCAUAAGGCCAGGAUGUUUAUGCAGGCUGGUGCCAGCAGAGAGAAACUCAGCAGUUCCUGGGUUAGGUAACCACCCAUUAGCCUGCAAACCUCUAGGGAAGACUGCUUGCACACGAGAUGGAAAAACAUCUUUUGAAACUGUGCCCAUGACCAAUGGUCAAUUACCGAACUUUAGUCCACUGCAGAAAAAUCAAUAAAGCCACUAAAUCCUUUGAUGGGUGAACAACCCAUUGCUCUCAUUGCCCUGUGGCUUCUGCUGAAGGCCCAGUAAAGCUUUGCUUAUUUUGUUUUUAACGUGUAGCUUGGGCUUACACACACACACACACACACACACACACACAUACACACACAGAGAGAGCUAUAAAAAUAUCUUUAUUUUAUGUGAACAGGUACCUUGCCUGCUCGUGUAUGUCUGUAUACUACAUGUGUGCCUGGUGCCUGUGGAGGAAAGAAGAGGGCACCUGGAACGAGAGUUACAAAUAGUGUGAACUGUGCUGUGCAUUCGUUUAGGCACUGAGCUAUCUCUACCCCAGCUCAGGCCCAUUUCUACUGUAUCUAAGUUGUACGAUUCUACCACCCAGUACUCAAGCUCCGUGAGUCCAUGUGCCUCAGAGACUGUGGGAACCGCCAAGCUUUCUCCCAGGGUCUACAAGAUCAAAGGCCCCCUUUCACUGAUAAUGUAGUGUAUUUCUUCUUCCACUCUUAGGAUCUCAGGAGUGUAAGUGGAGUUUCCCAAGAGCUACAGCGGAUGCGAUGACAGCCUCACUCCAGCAGUUGAGGCAUGUGCUUGGGUCUAAAAAGUGCCCAGUUCCUAUGUCUAGGUGAGAAAUAUCAAACAGAGAUUCUUUUUUUUUGGGGGGGGGGGAGAAUUCCUGAAUAACUCUUAAAGAUUUAAAGAGGUCCUGAGAAGCCAAACUCUGAAGAUCACUAUUCAAGGUUAAAUCUGAAAGACAAUGGAAACCCAUGGGCUGGUCUAUGAGCCAGGGUCUAGAGCUAGAGUCUACAACAGAGGAUGGCAGAGGCAAGGCCAGAAAGGCCGGGGCUCUCAUUUAGCUAUUUCACAGCUGACUCAUAAGUAGACAUUGUUGACACCAUGUAUUGAGCAGGCCCAGCCACCACCACAUGACAUAGGGGGCUGGCAGUUAACUCUUUCCUAAAUUAACUGUAGCUCACCUCCUCUCCCCCCCUCACAGGCAAGCCAGAGGGAGAAGCAUAUUGCCUAGGAAGCAGCCAUAGCUCUCACCUUCUUAGCACCAUCUUCACUGCCCCUGCUCUCCUUACAUCAGCACCUGGCUGGAAUCUCUGAGGCUUCUGUAUGAACUAUGAUGUAUUAGGAUAGGAAGAACAUUUAGGGGAUAAAAAGCAGGCAAUAGAGCUGACACUAGGCCAGGGGCCCAUCCUCCAUGGAACAUAGGAUUAGACCCAUUUUAGAGACUAGGGAAUGGAGGCAGAGUGUGAGUUUCUUACUCAGGUUUAAACAAGUAAGUUUUUUGUUUGUUUGUUUUUGGUUUUUUUUUUUUUUUUUUUUUUUUUUUUGUGGUUUUUCAAGACAGGGUUUCUCUGUAUAGCCCUGGCUGCCCUGGAACUCACUUUGUAGAUCAGGCUGGCCUCAAACGCAGAAAUCCACCUGCCUCUGCCUCCCGAGUGCUGGGAUAAAGGCGUGCGCCACUAUCUGAUGCCAAAAUCUAGAUACUGCAUCUCAGGUCCACUCUUCUGAAAUACCAGAUUGACCUCAGCAUCAAAAUCAUUUAGGGAGGUUUUUGUUUUUGUUUUUUUGUUUUUUUAAAGUUCACAUCAGCUCUACCCCUGAAGGUUCUAAUUCCAUGGAUAUGGGUGGGACUCUGGAAGCUUCAGAACUUAUUAGAGGACCCACUUCUGCUUGGCCUCAGCUACAAAUGCCAUUUGUGGAGGUGGAGAGCUUGGCCCGGCCAACAUACCUGUCUGUCUGUCUUUGGGUCAUAUUUUUCUUGAAGAAAUAAGAUUUUUAGUAUCAUGUAAGAAUUGUUCUUUGUAUGAGGACAAGCAGGUACUAGGUAACUAGAGAAAGUGACCCAUGAGUGUGUCACCCAGAGACUCCAUAGCCAGGGGUCAUCCAUACAUGUUUACAGAUCUUGGUUCUGCCCAGAGGUUUCUAUGACACCCACCUCUGCAACAUACUGACACUUGGGAAAUACUUUGAGAACUGAAUUGAAUGUGGUAAAGUAAGUACAGUGACUCAGUAGCCUCAUGUAUGGGUGAAGGCAGGUAUGACCACCACAUGAACACAGGAUGCAGUUUGACAAUCUGAUGCUAUGGGCCCGAAAGUGUCUAGGUUCAGCAUUGGCUCAGACUGAGGCUCAGCUGGAGCAGGCCACUGUGGCUCCUUGGUAACUGGGGGGUGGAGGGUGAGCAGUGUCCUAACUUAGGGGUCUCUAUUUCAGCAUGCAUAAAGACUCAAUUUCCCAUGCUACAUAGAACAGACCUCAAGUCAGCAUGGCUGUUUUGAGGAUUCAUCUAAAUUUGAGGCUGGAAUGAGAGAGGGCCUGCUUGGUGAGACAAUAUGGUGGGAAAUCUUACUGCUUACCAGAAAUAUACCAACAAGAACUCAAGUCAAGGGCAGGGCAGGUAUGCAGACAAUCUGACUCCUGAUACAUUUGUUGACUUCCACAUAGACCUUAUGUUGGUCACUUCUCUCGUUGUGGCAACAAAAUACUCGCUGAAACCAAUAUAGCCAAGAGUGAAUUCUUUCUAGCUCACAGGCGGAGGGUACAGCCCACCAUAGAGAAGGGCAGGGCAGCAGACACUUGAGGCAGCAGGUCACAUUGCCCUUGGAGUCAGGAAGGCACAAAGGGAGCCUGCUGCUCAGUUUUCCCUAUCUUUUUAUACAGUCCAAACUGCAUCUCAUAGAUGAUGCCGCCCACAUUUAGGGUACGUCUCCUCAUUCCAAUUUACUGUAUCUAAAAGUCUCUACUUUUAGAAAUGCCUGCAGGCUUGUUUCUCAGUCCUAUCAGAUGACAUUAUAAACCCUGUGCAGCUGGUAUAGGUCCCCUAAUCACAAAUUCUAGCAAUUCAUGAUACAGACUCAGUUCAAGGUUGGGUACCCUCCUGGAGAGAAAGGUUGCUGACCCAGGAAGUUUCCUCCACGGGGCUAGUCUCCACAGUCAGAGAAAGGGACGAUACUGUGAGAAUUUUACAAGCCCCAUCUCAAACACUAACCUUUGGUAACCUGCAUGUGAAUUAGUUUAUGCUCAUAUGCUAAAGGGCUGGGGAAACAGGGCCUGACAAGUAAGAAUGUGACAUGUCCUUGACAAGGGCAUGCUUUGAACCCAUAUUUUCCAGUUGGUGGUGAUACUUUGUGAGCCAUGGAACUUUUAGAAGGUGGAGGCCUAGGGAUAGAUAUCGGUCCUUGGGGGGACAGAAAAAGUGUCUCAGAAGUUGAUAGUCUAGUCAGCCCUGGGUUCUGGUCUUGUUUUCUCUACUGCUCAGUAAGACAUGAUGUGUACCAUCUUAGCCGUACACUCUACUCUAUGUUUUUCCUGUUGUGGCUGGCAUAAGCCAAAAAUAAAUCCCUCCUCCUUUAUGUUGUUUCUGUAAGACAUUCUAGCCACACCCACGAGACAUAACCUAGCAGAGGAUCAAGCAGAUUUUCUCCUCCCAGCCAUCUUAACAUCGACUCUAUGAAGUCACCUCAGUCCAUGCAGACACGGGGAUAAUCCCAGAGAAUGAGGACAGAGAAAAGGAUCAAGUGUGAGACCCUCUCCUAGGUGGAGAAUGCAGCUUGCCGGAGACAGUGGCUUGCCCAUCAUCUGCUCCCUGCACUCCCGGUUUGCCCGGGUGUACCUUGCCUUGGCUUGUGUUUCCUGUGCUGCAUCCUAGCAGCAGGUAACCUCCCUUGAGCCUCACAACAGUCCAGAGUGUGAGCAGGCAGGUUAGUGCAGCUAGUUCUGUUACUAGGUAAUGGCAUUUUAAAAGUUGUUAAAUGAGUCACUGAAGCGACUCUCUCAAAGAGGCUUUAAAACACACACACACAGUGUGCCUACCUGGCCUCUUUCUCAGUCCUAAAACACUGUUUCCCUAUGAUUACUCUGGGUCACCUUUUGCUUUCUGGAACUAUUUCCUUCUCUGAGCCCCCCGCCCCUGCCUUCUACACUCAAGGUGCACACAAUGGCUGGAUUUUCUUCUCAGUCCCCAUCCCGGCAAUCCUACUUGCCUUUUCUCCAACAGAAGCGCACUCUUUACCUUUGCUGCUCCUUGACUGACCCUGGAGUCUGUUCUUUCUUAUCUAUUAUCAGCCUCCCUGACCCCUGCUUGGCUGGGUCACCUAAUUUCCCUUCUACCUCAAGGUCUUAUUAGUCUUGCUCCAGAAACCCACAGCCCUGCCAUCAUAACAAAGGAUGUGUGCAUUUGUGAGGACCACUUUGCAAACUGAUGUAGCCGGAGAAGGGCACCUUGCUGCAUACUAAUAAUGCUUUAAUCACAUGGUCCUGACGUGGCUCCGCGGGGAGAGAUGAGCAGAGAUGAGCAGUUUUUGCUGCAUCCCAGUGUGACUGAAGAAGCCUCGGUUUAAGGAAGCAAAGGCCAUGAAGCAUAUGAUAUCACCAAGAAAAUCAUAAUGCUAUAUGAUAUUAUGCCAGAAAAAUUAACCACUUUCAAGAAGCCAAAGGAACCUGCUUGAAUGUAGAUCAACACAUAGUGAACUGGAUGCUCUUCUUUGUUGUCUGAUAAUAGUCUUACUGGGAAGGUCUUGCUUGAACAUGACCUGGGCUGCUGGAGAAUUGGCUCACCCUCUGAUGGCAUGUGGAUGUCACAAAGGAUGUGUGAGCAUUUUUUACAAACAUAGGUGAUUGAUCUCAACAGUGGAAUCUGUACCCACAGCACAGCAUGUUCAGUCUAGCUUUGUUUGGGGUGCUCUGCACCCUAUUUUCUUGGCUCUACCUGUGAACAGUGUCCAGGACCUGCCUCAGGCCUUCUACCAGAAGAAGGACACAACAGGCCAGGAUGGACGUUUUUUGUCUGUCUGGAGAAGAUGUUAUUUCCCAUUUUGCUCAGGGAAUACCUUGAGCCUAAAACAAUAAACAUAGAAAUACCUUUAAGUUUCUGGGCUCUGUCUAGAAAUUCAUCAGUUUUUAAGAAAACAUGGGGAGAGAGAGAGAGAGAAAGAGAGAGAGAGAGAGAGAGAGAGAGAGAGAGAGAGAGAGAGAGAGAGAGAGAGAGAAACAACUUACAUAUUUAAUGAAAGACUAAACAUAGCCUUGUAAUUUAUCACAUGAGGGACAAUUUUGGGAAUCAGAGCAAAAAGCUACACAAGGCAGUAAGUGGCUGAACCCCAUUGAGGGCCCCCCUCUUAGAGUGGAGCUUAUCUAACUUGUCUGUGUGGCUCAGCCCAACACUGUCUUCUUUCUCAGUCACUGGCUCAUUUACAAUAGGUAUUGAGUUAGGAAUGGCAAGUAUAAGACACCCAGGUGGUGGUUUUCAUUAGUGAUAUCAUAAGGAAGACCAGAGAGGAACUGUGUGGCCAAAUUCCAGAUCAGGUUUUGGGGUCACAGGGUCAGGACAGGAUAAUCACAGCUCUGAAGCCAGCAGUGGUUCCAACUGCCUGGGUACAUUUGGAGAUGGCUCCAGUGUGUGAGUGUGGGGGAUGACUUUGCAAACCAUCCCUUUGCCAGGAGCUUACUGCAGUAAAACUCAGCCCUCUUCUAACCUGGCACUGCACCACCAAUAGGAUCUGGGAGCUGAAUUCAGGCCCCUGAAUUCACAGCCAUGGUGCUGAGAGCAAUAGGGGCCAUCUCUGAUUUUGAAUCCCAGUUUUACAAAGUACUACAGCCCAGAGCAGACAUCAGCCCACUCUGCAGAGCACAACCACCUUUGUCCUUCACUGGCCUGCCUCCCACUUGAGGCAGAAAUGAAUGACCUUGACCUCAGCUCCAACCCGCCAGUGCAGUGCACACAGCUCAAGUGGGGUCCUCGUGGCCACCAUGGGUGACUGUGCUCACGGCCCAGCUGCUCACUGGCAGGGCUGCAGGGCGCAGGACCUGACACUGCGGGCCUUUUCUCCCUCCUCCACUAGCAGCCAGUGGGCGGGCUUGCUCCGCCAGCUGCCAUGGCAACGGGAAGAUGGCUCUGUGGUGCCCAGAACAGAUGUCACAUGGGCCGCUGUGCUUGUGUUGGGGGUGGGGAGCUUGGGGGGGGGGGGGCACCAGGGGAGGGGCUGCGCCUUUGGAGUUAAAUGGCCCCACCAGAGGGAGUAAGUCACAUUUGGAAGGGAGUGCAGAGCAGUAGAAUCUAUUUUCUUUCUUGUCCCCGUCCUUUAAGUGCACUAAACGUACAUGCACAAACACAAAUGGCCUUUCAUCUCCGCUCCUGAGGUGCUGGAGGCUCGCAGCUUUCUGGGCGGACAUGAAAGCUGUUAUCUCUCCAAGCCUCAAAUGAACAGUGCCUCGGUGGCCCAACCUUGAGCAGGCAGCCCUCUGUUGUCUUUAAGGGACUGGCCGGGAGGCUCCAUUCGGGACCGGCGUGCUCAGAGCGGCUGCUUUGUGCCAAGGAAUGCCACAGGGAAGAGGGGGAGGUGAGCAAAGCCAAGAAGAUCUCAUUCAUCACCAAGAGGCAGAAACAGCACAGAAACUCUUAUAAUGGGUCUGAUGAAGUGAGUGUUGCAAGCAAAGCAUUAUGGGAAUGUGGAGAGGCAGGCUCUGAGAGAGGUGUCCUGGGGUGUGAAGAGACAAGUAGGAAGAAUCUGGAAUUGACAGAGCACCUGUGCUGUGACAGACAUGUUAUAUACACAGCACACCGGAUGGAUCACAGAACUCCCUAAGAGGCAGUCACUGUUUUUAUGUCUUUUUUUUUUUUUUUUUUAAAUCAGGAAACCCAUGCUUAGAGUGGUUUACAGUCCAAGGUCAUUCACCAAGGACACAGCCAUGCUGCCCUGUGUUUCUGCCUACAGACCGACAGAAGACGCAGCCCAGCACAGAACGCAGCUGCAAGCGUAUCUGUCAUUUUCUGAUCUUCACUUAAACGGCAAGGUUCAGAGAUCAUGGGUUUCAAACAGUCCCUGCAGCUUACCUAACACACGUAAACACAUAGCAAUUAAAAGAAAAAGAAUCGUUCAUCUGGAUGUAGCCAAAAAUCUUCUCAUGGAUUACAAUGGGUGCUACUGGGACUUUUCCAUGUUCUUGAAAGAUGAGUGGGGGUGGCCCCACAAACUGUAUUCAUUCAUUUAAGCAUCACCCUAUGUUACUAGGGGGGUUUUUGUGUCUAUACACAAAAUGACCCAUCUCCCAGCCCAGAAAGAUUGCUGUAUUUUAACAACAAUCUGGCCUGCACCUGAGAUCCUCAGGCAUUUGUGGUUCACCUGAAUGAAAAGCAAUGAUCAAGUGUGAAUGAUUGCCUGACAGUGCCCAGUUCUGUGCAGCUCUGGGAAGCUGCCCCUGCAAGCCAAAGUCCCCCACAGAAGACUAGCUUCCUUGACACUGCAGUGAAAGUCAACAACCACCAGGGGGCAGUAACACAAACCAGAUAUUUUUCCUCCGGGCCUGAAUGUGGAUGUGCCCGGUUUAAUGCGUAAAGCCCAUUAUUACAAGCCUUUCCUCUCCCCACCCCCUAUUAAUGAACAAAUGCCCAGGGGUAAUGCAGAGAUUUCUAAAUACAGUGCAAGAAAGGGCAAUCUGUACUCAUACACAGGGAGUCUAACAUGCAGUAAUAAGUGGAAAUGAAAAUAAUCAAGAUGCAAGUGAGCCAUUAGGCUAAAGAGCUAGCCCUCUGUCUGGCUGCAAACACAGAAAUGCAGAUGCCUGGCUCGCAGAAACGGGCAUUUUAAAAAUAUUUAUUUCACAAGUUCCUAUUUAGAGUUCAUAAUACUAUCCAUAAUUACAACCUCCGAGCUCCAAGAGGGGGUCUAACAAGAAUUCCAUAUCUAGUAUAGAGCACAGAGAGGGAUGGUUCUCUCAGCCUAAGGUAAAUGCAUGAAUUAUUCAGGAACUUCCAUGGGCAUUUUAAAUCAUAACUUUGUGCUGUAAACAAUAGCACACGUUAAAAAAAAAAAAGGUAAAAAGAUGAAGAGCUGUCUAAUCUCCAAGCCAUAAAACAGCUACUGACACCCACAGUCUCCUAAUGGUUGCUGUAGCGUUCCAUAGGAAUCCGUUGGCGUACUUACAGGUUUUAAACAUAGCAGCAGAGAGAAUAUAAUAACACGGAACCUACUUCUUCCCUGGGAACAAAGAAUCCGGGAUGAUUCUGCCAUUUUCGUGACAAAGGGAAGAUUACGCAGUCCUUUCUUUUAAGUUGUUUGGAAUUUGGGGCCUGUGGAAAAGGUGACAAGGCCACUGCUAGCAGCCUAGUCUCCGGAGUCACCCCAUCACAUCCCAAUAUUCAUAACCUGAUAGAUUACACAGCUAUUAUCCACGCAACAUGGCUGAAACACACGUGGAAUUCUGAGUCAACUGACCAUAACCCUCUACAUUUUCUAUUGAGGUUGUUCUGGGAAUGAAAAUGUACCCCUCUGGGCUUCAGUUUCCUAGCAACAGAGGUAGGAGAACAGAUCUUGCCCUAUGCCCUUGUGUGGUGUGAAGGUCAUUCGGCAUAAUGGGAGGGAAAAAUGUUAAGAACCCUUGAGAUUUAUGAAGACUCUCAGUGUGUGUCUUCUCUCCAGUUCACAGGAGGAACUGGAGCUGCAGAGACGAAUCCAAGGUCACGUAGGUGAAGCCAGAGCCAGGGCCCCAGCUGGCUCUUCUCAUCCAAGGCUAUGAUUCUUCCCUUCCCUCCUCGGAGCUGAGCACACACAACACAGCUGUCUCAGUCUGCUCUGGAAAAAUACCUCAGACUGGAGGCACACAGCAGGACUGUGGACUUUGGUAAAGGGCAAAGUAUAGCAAGGCAGGUUGUAUUGCAAGGCCCCUUCUCCUGCCUCGUAGAUGUUUAGGUUGUGUUUACACAUCUUCCCUGAACACAGGAGUAAAAACAGAAAGUAGCCCCCUGGUGCCUACUGCCUUUUCUUCUAAGGACGAAAAUCCCUCCGUGGGAGCUCUAUCAGUAUGACCUCAUCUAACCCAAAUUACCCAGAUCAAAAACCAUCACACUAGGGGAGGAGAAGGCUUUAGCAGAGGAGGUUCAAUGGAGAAAUCCCAGAAAUAUUCAGCCCAUAAUAAAAGACAAUAUGACGGACUUGUUCAUCUCCCCAUCUCUUUAAUUUAGGUCAACAAAUAUUCGCAGGGCAUGUGCUAGGAGCCAAGCACAGUUGCAGGCACUGUGGACACAAAGAUGAAUAGGAGACCCUGAAAGGAUGGCUUAGGACAGAAAAUGUCAGUAUAGGUCCUAGGAAAUUCCCUUCAGGGUAGGGUUUGUGUGACUGGUGAGCACUAGGGACUGUACAGGGACUGGUCGGUUACAACCUUCCCAAGAACUUCUUUCAGACAGCUCUGCUCAAAACAACUACAGUAUGAGUCUGGAUGCUAAUCAGUACAUAAUUAAUAUUUGAUAAGGUAAUUAAUUUAUUAAUUUGCUGGGGAAGAGAAAGAGAUAAGUCAUUUUCAGCCUACAGAUGCCUGGAAGGAGCCACAUAGGAUCUGCAUGUGCCUCAUGGGAUGGGGGUGUCACCAGUCCGGCUGUACUCUGGUAGUACUGGCAUUGUGGAAUAAUUAUUGCAUAUAAUGGAUUUCUGAGUUGAGGUGGCAUAAUUUAAGCUAUUUUGGGGGUUCAGAAACUAAAAGGACUCAGCUUCAACUUAUGUAUAUUGGAUCACUACAUGUGUGAUAUAAAUGCACAUGCAUUAGAUAAAAGAAAGGAAAAUAGAAAUAUAUGAAAUGUCAUUUAAUUCUAAUAGCAAAUCUGUAGAGAAAUUUGUUACCCAGAGAAAUUAACUCAAGCUCAAACAUACUAACUAAGGCAGUACUAGAACAUUCUUGCAAACCAUCCAAAUGUUAAUUUGAAAAGAGAGAGGAAGGAGAGAGGAGGGGAGGAGAAGAGGAAAGGAAGGAGGGGAGAAAGGAAAGAAGGAAGGAAGAAGAAAGAAGAAGAAGAAGAAGAAGGAGAAGGAGGAGGAGGAGGAGGAGGAGGAGGAGGAGGAGGAGAAGGAGAAGGAGGAAGAGGAGGAGGAGGAGGAGAAGGAGAAGAAAGACAGAAAGAAAAGAGAGAGAGAGAGAGAGAGAGAGAGAGAGAGAGAGAGAGAAAGAAAGAAAGAAAGAAAGAAAGAAAGAAAGAAAGAAAGAAAGAAAGGAAGGAAGGAAGGAAGGAAGGAAGGAAGGAAGGAAGGAAGAAAGAAAAAAGAGAGAUUUCUUUUACAAAUAUUCUUCCAGCUGUAAGGAUUACUUUUGCACUCUGUUUUCUGGUGUGCAACCACAUUUUAGGAGUGAAGGUCUUCUUUGAAGGUAGAGGGAAUAAACAUGAAAAUUCCAAUCUCCUUGCAAAAGCAGAUAAAGGCCACAGACAGUCAUCCCUGCAAGGACACCCCUGUCCAAAUCUGCACUUCUUGGGUAUCCAGAAAUCCUACAGCUUCACUCAAAGGCCCCAGGCCUUGGUAGGGAAUUGCACGGUACACUGUAGACAUGAUGAGAGGGACUGUUACUGGAUGAUAGCGUGAUGGUUGCAUGGAGUCUGGGAGACCAAGCUAAUGGCUGGGUCUCAGACAUACACUAGAUAGGUCAUGGCAGAGUCAGACACUAGAGAGGGAAAUGGUCCGGAUGAUAUUUAUGAUGGCCACUCUGGCUGCCCUGUGUAGGCAGCUCUAGUAACAGAGAAAUAAAAAGUUCAUUGGCCCAGGAGCAGAUGGUGGUACAUGAGUGAUGGUGGUGACUGUGGCUAUGACAGAGAAGCAGGUACAUGGGAGCUAUACUCAAGGGCAAAAUUCAGACAUUGUGGCUUCAGUGUAAAAUGCUUCUCAGAGGCUCCUGUAUUUAAAUGCUUGGUCCUUGUGCUCUGAGGUAAAGCACGGCUUUAAGAAGUGAGCUCAUAGCCGGGCGUGGUGCUGCACGCCUUUAAUCCCAGCACUCAGGAGGUAGAGGCAGGCGGAUUUCUGAGUUCGAGGCCAGCCUGGUCUACAAAGUGAGUUCCAGGACAGCCAGGGCUAUACAAAGAAACCCUGUCUCGAACACCCCCCCCAAAUAAAAGAAGUGUGCUCGUGGGGGUAGGUCUUGAGGUCCCUCAGCCCCACUCUACUUCCUGUCUUUUCUCUGUUUCUUGACUGUGAAGGCAGUGUGAUUGGCCACCUCAUGGUCCUGCCACCAUGCCCUCCUCACUAGGAUGGGCUGUGUCCAUCUUCAACUUCAAGUCAAAAUAAAUCCUCCCCAACCCUGACACUGCUUCUGCUCAAGUCUUUUGCCACAGUGAGGAGGACAGAGACUAAUGCACCUGGGCAGCCUGGUAAUGUGGUGACAAGGGGCAAGUGAGCACAGGGAUAGAUCCACAGUGGCUCCCAGGGUGCCAUCAGUGGUGGGCACAAGAAGCCAGGCACUUGCAUAUUAAAGAGUCUUCAGUCUAUGGCUUGUUGUGUGGACAAGGAUAUGGAAAUAAACAAGUGGGUACACUUCUAUGCAGGGAUCUGGAAGCCAUGGGGAUUUUUAGGUCCAUGAACCUGUGUAUCAUUGUAUAGAGUUAGCAUUUAUACUACACAAAGAGCAAGGUGGCAGAAGCUUCAUUGGUAGCACAGGUGGGGAGGUUAUUUGAGAAUACAAUCUUUCCAUCCCUCCAUCUCUGUCUCUUUCUGUGCACUGCCCAGCCCCCAUGCAUGUUGGCCUUGCUAGGAUGAUGUGGCAUUAGUGAAUGCCUGGAUGCAAUCUAAGUGGGAAGAGAAUCAAAUAAUCAAAGAUGAGCUUUAAAAAAAAAUUGCUGGCUGUUUUGAAGCAAUCAUUACAUACUGUUUUGUAUAUUCCUUUUUGGGUGCUUUUCUUUAAAUUACACAUUGUAUUGCAUAUAAUGAAAUGCACAGAUGAUAGAUGAUGAAUUGGCAAAUAAUUGAAAAUUAAGAUAAAAUUAUAAAAAUUAUUUAAAGACUAUGGCAAUAUAGAGAUCAUCUAGAUGGCUGUAUAGAUGGAAGAGAUGAGUGGAUGGGAGAAUGAUCAGGUUGCUGGGAAAGAGGCUGUGUAAAUGGAUGGAUGGGUAGACUAGGUGGUAGGUGAAAAUAUGGGUGCAUGGGUGGGUGGUGGAUAGAUGAACAGAGAGACUAAAAAGACAGAUUUUUAAUUAAGAAUAUACUUCAGAAAGGUGUUGUGCUCAUCAGAGUACAAUAUGCUCUAAAAUAUACUGGGGGGGGGGGCUGAUUUGGGCUGAUUUUUCUUCUCUUCUGACAAGAAAAAUAUUCAAAGAAAUCAUGUCUUCCAUUCAUGCGUCUUGAGGAGUUGGGCAGAAGUUAGGUCGUGUGCUUGGGCCACAAUAACAUCUAUUAGUUUCAAGACCUACCAUCUUCCAGGGGUUAAAAUGCUAAAUUCGUAAAUGAAGAGGAGUCCCAUUUUGAGUAUGAAGGAAUCCCACAUAGACCACACACUUACCAUUCCCAGAGGGUCUGAUUUAUUCGGGUGAGGUUGGGAAGAUGAAGUAUGGGUUUCACUCCUGAAGGUUUGACCCUCCUGCUUGGGCCUUCCUGCCUCCACCCACCGUCAGGAGAUCGGAAGUGAGAAGAAUUCUUCAGGUUGCUGGUGGGCCUGGGAUUGACAGCCCAGCCAACUAUGCAGAAAACCAUACUUUGGAGGGAAAAAAUCACUUUUGGUUUCUGGCUCCUCAGCACUCCUACACAUCUAAUUAGCUCAACAAUCGGUCCCUGUGAUAAAAUCAGCUAAUUUUAUGUUCAAACGGCUGCUCUGUGGUAAGCAGUGCAGUCACUCCAACGCCACAUAUAAAGAAGUUGCUGAAGAAGCUGGUUCCUGCAGGUCACUGGGGGACAAACUAGCAGAGACUAUCAAAUUAGUAACCUAAGUCAACAGUAUAGUUAGUAUGCAAGGGUCCCUGCAGACACAGAGAAGAUCAAUGGCCAGGAUGGAAGGCCUGUAAUGGCGACCUCUGAAGGGGGAAGAGGGUGUGUGGAAUGAACUGAAGGAGUAUCUACUCUGAGCAUAAGCCUGAAUGUUUGGGGCAAGAUUAUGGAAGGCAAGAGUCUAACUGGUGUUAUAAAGAAACGAUGCCCCUAAGAGUAAAUGUCUUGUCAGAAAUUUGCCCAAGGUUAGCAUUGAUAUAAGGCACAGGCAAGGCCAUUCAGAACUGCUCUCUGGACAGCUAUGGUGACAAAAGGCAGAAUCUAGGACCAACCUUGGUGAUGUGGAGCCAUUUGGAAGCCAGAAUACUUUUAAGGUAAAUGUAAAAGAGAAGAUGGUUCAUUUAGCAAAUAAAAGACAAUUGUGUCACCUUUCAUAGGGACAUUAUUGACUUAUUUGGAGGUAAGUUUCAGAUAUCAGUUAUACAAAGAGAAUGGGCAGAAAUUCACAGGAACUCUCAAGGUAGAAACAAAGUCUCAGAACUAUACUAAUACAUACAAUUUUAAACAAAGAUACAGAGAGAUACACACAACUACAUCUAAGUGUAUCUAUUACAUCUACACAUAGAUGAUAAAUUGAUAGAUGAAAACCAGGUCAUAGAUGAUAAAUGACAUAUAAAUGAUAGCUAAGUGGCAGAUAGAUGAUACAGAUACAUAGGUAAUUGACAGAUGAAUAACCAAAGAUUUGUAAAAGAUUUCAUUUAUAUAUGUAAAGUUAGAAGAGUGGCUGGCAUUCAGUAAAUACCCUUUUCUGUAGUUGCAAUCUUACUAUGACUGCCUCUGCCAUUAUAAGGCUGUUUAUGCACUGCACAUCACUCUGCUCAUAACUUCUGUAUCUAAAGCUGUCUCCCAUGUGACUACAUGAUCGCAGCAGGAGGUCCUCCUGGGAAGUCACCUCAAGCUUUUCUUCCAGAGAGCCUCGUGGUGGGACCAGCCUUUGGCACUAGCAGUGUUUUCUGGCUAGGGCACAGAGCUGGUGGGAGAAGGGCACUUUGUGGAUAAUGGCUUUUGAUGCUGCUUACACACUGUGAUGGUUAGCUUUAAUUGUCAAUUUGAUACAACAUACAAUCACCUUGGAUGAGAGUCUCAAUGAGGGCUUAUCUACAUUGGGUUGGCUUGUGGUCAUGCCUGUGGGAGGUUGCCUUAAUUAAUUUCAUUGAUAUGGAAAGACCCAGUUCACUGUGGGUAGCACCAUUCCCUAGGCAGGGGGUCCUGAACUGUAUAAAAGAGGACAAAGUUAGCUAAGUACAAGCAGGGAGGCAGCAUGCAUGUAUGCAUUUAUUUCUCUUUCUACUGCCUGCUAUAAUAUGGCUAGGUGACUUAAGUUCCUACCUUGAUUUACCAGAGAUGAUAGACAGUAACCUGAAAUUGUAAGGCAAGUUAACUUGUUUCUCUCUGAAGUUGCUUUUGGUCAGGAUAUGAUAUCACAGCAACAUAAAUGAAACUGGAAUGCACCUGCUUAAUCAGAAGCACUUCUUCACUUCAGGCUCUGGGGCUCACAUGCCCAUCCCACACUCCUUGCUGCUGUAGCUUGUCAUGUCUCCUACCCUGAAGUAAAGUCUCCACAGCCAGAAGUACUCCACAGCCACGAGGCUCAAGCAACCUGUUACUGAUAUCAGCCAGUGUGGGCCUUACUCCUCUCUUCUACUUCUCCUGUACUCUGAUCCUACCAACCAUCCCAGAAAAUCCUCACACACAAGUCCCUUAUUUUGAAUUCUGCCACUAGUGGGACUAGAGGUAAGACAGACAUCAUAGUGGUUUCCUAGAUACCUACAUAGUUGGCCUUAUUAUUCACACCCUGAACCCACAGGUACAUCAUGAGACACUUUGGUUCCUGGUUCAGUAUCAAGAUCUCUUGAUGUUACAGUCUCCAGAAAGGAAUAAAAGAAAUGUCACAAAAUUCAGCCCAGACUCAUAGAGGGAAUCAAGUAGGAUAGUAGCCACAGGGACUAUGCCCUAGACUGCCUACCAUGUCAGCCAAGCUGACAUCACAGCCUUAGAUAUAUGAUGGGAGGAGGGGACCCUCUAAGCAUCUCUCUCAGCCCCAUCUCCUAUCAUAGCCGAUCUGACCAGGCCACCUCAACAGCAGAGAAGCUGCAUCCCAGCCUGCUCCUCAUUACCGACUCUACCACUGUGGUGGCUGUCCUAUGCUUCACAGGUCCAGAGUAGCUACUAGCUCUGUUUCUAAUACAGGAAAUAUCAUAAUCAAAAAUUAAGUAUCAUCACUGAGCUCUAAAAAUUAAAAGAACUCAAGUUGUUUGUAAGUGACCCAAAUCGAUGCUGGAGGAGAUUUUUCCCUCAAGGAUUAUAGAAUUAAUAGAACAAAUAUUUCAUGAUAUAAUGUAUAUCUUUCUGAUAAAUGGUCUUAUUAUAAUUAGGUUUACUGUAGCUGGCAGUGAAAAGUAUAUAUCACAGGUUGAUCUAUGUCUUCCAGAAAGGAUCUGUUGGAGCCUUAAGCUGUUAGACCACAACCUUAUUUGGAGUUGGGUCUUCAUAGACGUCAUCAAGUUACAUGAAGUUACCAGGGUUAGCCUGCAUGUAGUAGGACCAGUGUUCUUACAAAUGCAGGAGUGAGGAGACACACGGAGAGCGAGUGACAUAUGACAUUGACGGGGAAAGCAUCUGGACCUUUCCUUCUCUCAGUCCCCAGAAGCCCCCUUUGUCAUUGCCUUGAUUCCAGACUCCAGCUGCAGAACAGAGACAAGCAAUGUCUGCGGGUGAGACGGAUUCUGACAGAGCGACAGCACCUCAUUCACCAGGAUGAGCUGAUUUUUUAAAGAAAAGUACACAUGGGCUCACCCUUAGACACUCGCUAUGCACAUUUCUUUGGCACAAUGGCGCUGCGAGGAGGCUGGCAGAAAUGGCCUCGGGUAUGGUCACAG